UGUGUGUUUUCAGUUGGCUACUGGACCAAACCAUGCACUGAAUCUUUUGCUGAUCAGUAGGCGGCAAUACAGGCCAUGGGUGCCCCUGAUUGACGACUAGUCAUGGACAUCUCUCACAAAACAUUUGACUAACGCUGUUAUAACAUUUACAUUUAUAUUACUAUUUUUCAGAUUUCCUUGAAUGGAUCUUGGAGGAUAGACUGUAAAGAAAAGGUGAAAACAGAGAGUCGAAAACCAUAUACUUGUAUUGUAGUUGUGCUACUACUAGUUCACCAUUGGCUUUAAUCUAGUAAUGCCAUUGGAAAACAACUAGAUCGUGCAUUUUGCAAGCUAGUAGGAUACUGGCUGUGAUUUAUCUGGUAGCAUACAUACUGUAAUGUUUGGUACUUUCAUUGCACAGUGCCACACAUAUAAUACAAUUCGUAUCAUAUAUAGAGAACUGAAACCAUUUGCUGUCAAAGAGUGCUACCCGCUCUUUUUAUGUCGUCGUUUACAAUCCUACACUCUUAUGCCCUGUACGCUCAUGCAUCUUGGGUGUAAUGUAGCUACUUGGAUGAAGCGGUCGCAUGUGAAAAACGCUUAAAUGACUACACAUAUUGUUACUGCAUCAUUGCAUCAUUUUGAUCUACUGAAUCUCAGGACUGCUAUUUGUUUUGGAUUGAAAAUGCAACCGUUUAUCGGAGUUGUCAUGGUCUAAUUUUUUCUGCAUACUAUUGUGCAGAUGGAUUAAUCUGUGGCUCCAAGUGCUGAUCUGAAGCUGAAGAUGCUCUGCAGUGGAAUAAGUUUGCUAGUAGAGAAAGGAGUUAAAUGUUUGUAAAACUGUGUGUCAUGUGUAUUCUGAGAGAUGCAUUGUUCUCACCGGCUGGACAAGAAAGUAGUCUGAACGAUUUCUGUAUGCAGGCAGUAACAGUAUUUAAGACUUUUUGAAUUUUCAGGCUACUGCUUGGUGUCAGUAAACCUAAUCUUCUGAAGCUUUUGUACAAACCAACCUACUAGACUGGGGGGAAGUGGGGAGCAGCGUUGCUGACCAUGUAGUAAUCUUCGCCAACUUCGCUUGGCGUGGGAGGUAGCCGCAGUAGUUCAUGUGCGCCUUUGUCCUUGAAGAAGCGGCUCAGGGCAAGUAGCUGAUCAUCGCUCAGACCCGGCGCCGGUUGCACGACCAUGCUCUUCGGCUUCCCGCUGUUGAUCCACUCUUCGAUCACGGAGGUCGCAUCCUUCCUGGUUUCAACAACCCUGACAUCCCGUGGGCUUGGCUUUUGCAACCAGUCCAAGAACUCCUCCCCCAAACGUGCGGCCUGGUUCACCGUCACAAGCUGCGCCACCGCGGGUGCUAUCUUGGACCCGAACGGGACUCCGCAGACCUCAGCCAUAGUGCCAACAACCUCUGCUAGAGGUCCAACCCUCUCAAUAUGCUGUCGGCCAAUGCUGAUGGCGCUCCUCGCCAUCCCGCCCAGGCUCUUGGCGCUCAGAUGGGGCAUCAACUGGCUGCUACGCCUGGGACCUGCGGCUUGAACAACAGGUGAAGCGGGAUUGAACCACCAGAUCACGAUCUCCCGGCAAGAGGCGCUGCUGGCGAGAACGUCCACCUCCACAACCUUGACUGUUGGCAAAGCUGUUUCCAGAAGAUCGACUGCAACUGUGACGGCCUGGUAAAUCUGCUUUGCUCCGGACAUGACCAGGAAGGUAAUGUUACAGGCAUACGUAGGAUCGAACGCGAGCAGCUGGCCAGAGGAAGAGGGGAGGCACAUCUCGCGGGGAACAUCGAACAACAGCUCCCAAUCCCCCUCCUGGAGGUACCAAGUCCUCACCGAACCACCAGCAGAUCGGAGGAGACAGAUCCUCCCGUUGGUGUAGGCCAUGGAUUGCCCCGUAACACGGGCCUCGUCGUCCUCCAGACCCAACUCGUCGGCCUCCGCCCCAUGGACAGGAAACGGAACCAACCUUGCAGUAUCGGCGUUCGGAUCGAAGAGGAGCACCAGCCCGUGCUCCUCAUCCAUGAAGACGUGCUGCCUCAUGGUGUCCUGGCACAGCACGCCAUCCGGCUUGAAGGUUGGCGGCAGCUCCUCCUCCUUCCAGAUGCCCCAGUGGUCUUCGUCGUCGCCGGAAGGCGCGUGGAAACGCCGGGGACGCACCUCCUUGGUCGUCCAGGAAGACGACGACGAGCAGUAGACGAGCGCGCGCAGGUGCGCCCGCCUGGGCGCCGGCGCCGCCGAGGAGGAAGAGGACGACGCGCCCGCGCGCUGGUCCGCUCGCCUGGACGCUGCCGCCGGGGAGGACGAGGACGAGGAAUCCUCUGCUCCAAGUAGGGUGAUCAGGUAGUGCCCGCCGCCUCUGGGGCCAGGGACAAUCCCGAUGCCACCAAGCAGCGCCGCCUCCAGGACGCCGUGCUCGGCGAGGUGCUCCGGGAUCGGUGGAACCAGGUCCACCGAGCCGCUUCCGGGGCGGCAGACGAGCAGGCGUGGAGGGCUGCUGGGACGCCCUUGCUCCUCCGACUCGGACCACACGGCCACGAGGAUGUUGCUCUCCCCGUCGGUGCACAGGACGCGCCCGACGACGUCUUCAGCAUGGUCGCCAGCGGCGAGCAGCGCCCGGGCCCGGCUGAUGGAGAGCUCGGAGAGCUUCGGCGGCUUGGCGCAUUUGACGGCGUAGUGGAUGCCGGCCGGGAACUUCUCGGCAUCAACGAACUGGGGCGUCCGAUGGAGCAGCGCCCACGCGCGGUCCUUGAGCGCCGCGGCGCCGGCGCCGGCGAGGGGAGACCCCAUGCGGCCUCGGUCGGAUUGGUGGGUGGGGGUGGCCCGGUGGUGGUGGGGGUGGUGUGGUCGGUGGCCGAGGGGGUUUAGGGGGAGGGAAUGGGGUUGGGGGCACUCGACGUCGUAUAAGAAGAAGGGAGGGGAGGGGAGGGGAGGGGAGACAGCCUGGACAUGGGAUCCUCGUUUGAAUCCCCGAGUGUGAUUCUGUUAUUGCCAGGUCACAGGGUGGGCCCCCCCCCGCUUCCACGGAUGCAUGCCUAGCGGCGGCGGCCCGGAUGAACGCGCCUCCCAGAGAAGGUUCUAGACGCGGACGCUCGAUCGAGUGAGCACGUCGCGGAGGCCCAAGGAGAAGGAGGCCAGCCGAUCCCCGAGCUCGAGGACGCCAAUGGCCGCCGCCGACCUUUGGAUGCAACGUACGUUGUCAGCUCGUCGAGCACGUGGUACGAAGCAUUGCAUCGAGGCGCCUGGCCGUUCACCGUUGCCAUCAAACCACGACGGCACGGCGGUGAGCACGGAUUAAUAUUGGAGCCCAGCGGCGAGCGAGUCGGUCGCUGGCGGUGAGCACGCCCGCCGAGUACACGGCGAGCGAGUCGGUCGCCGGUGGUGGCUGGAGUCGCUUCCUGCACAUAACAGAGAAAAUGAAAAAACUGCUUUCUCAGGGCAUAAAAAUGAAACAGCAGCUUCAGUCCUUCAAGGUUUUUCUUAACAGUCAGGUUUUUCUCAGGGCAUAAAAAUGAAACACCCGUUGACGUUGAGGAACAGGAAGAUGCGGAGGGCUGAUCACCUUGAAGUCGUCCUCAAGAGAACGCAACGCUUGAUGUACCUCUGGAAAUCGAACUUGCUGCCAGGGGCAAGAAAGAUGGCCGGACAGCUGGCCGGAAUCUGCGUCCGUAACCUAAAUGUACACGUGUGUUUGAGAGGCCCGUUGCCCGGCUGACGUUGCUGGCCGUGCCAACAGCAAGUACUCUUGGAGCCGGCGGCAGUGAGCACGUCCGCCCAGUACACGGCUCCAGCAUGUCGUCCAAAUAUAACGAACUCUGCAUGCGCCUGCCACCUCGGCGAGGCCGUUAAUCCGUCAUCAUUGCCUAGCGCUGCACCACCGGCACGGCGGCCUCGCUCGGGGCUGCGCGCCAGCCGGGCGGCGACGUCCGCGCUGCACGCCCGCACCGGACGUGCUGGCCGGGCCGCAACACUGUCAUCCACCGCGCCACGAGCACCGAUCUUUCCCCGUCGCCCGCGAGCUCGUGUGUUGUCGAUGACGGCAGUGCACGGUCACACGGGUGGUCACAGCCGAGCAUAUUACAUGUAAGCAGAGUAAUAAUGGCAUGAAAAGUCACAUAUUACUGGUAAGCAGAGUAAUAAUGGCAUGUCAUCAUCAUGAUAUGGUUCGUAUGUGUUCAUAUCCACACGUAAUUAAGAUCACACUCGCACAAAUCACAGAUUCACAGCGCGGGCAUGGCGGCGGGCUCCUUCUCCUCCUGCUGGCAGAGGAACGGCGCGUCGGCGUUGGCGUCGCUGCAGUAGAGGCAGGGGUGCUGCUCGAACCCCUUCUCGCGCAGCACCUCCCUGGCCCGGGUCACCACCUCCCGGUUGCUCACCGGCGCCGGGUGCGCCGCCAGCACGGCCUGCACCGCGCUGCUGAACGCGCCGCACGCCUUGCUGCCCCCCUCCCCCGCCGCCUCGUCGUCGUCCCCCGACACGUCCGCGGACGUCUCGUCCGUCUGGCACCCGCUCAGCAGGAUCCCGCCGUCGGGGCUCGGCGCGCUGUCGUGGUGGCGCGGGUGGUGGAACUUGUCGCUGGCGUCAGCGCCGAAGAGCGCGAGGAGGUGGUCAGCGACGUGGUGGGACGCGCCGAGACCCGAGGCGCCGGAGAGGUAGCCGACGACGGCGGCGUACGGGAGGAAGCGGGCGCGGGCAGAAGCAGCUGGUGGUGCACGGCUGUCGACGGCGAGGUCCCCUGGUCGAUGAGUCCGCCGCUGUGGCCAGAGUCGGACACCAUGGUGAAGGUCGCGCCCUGCGGCACACUGUCCACGAGCUGCCGGAAAUCCACGUCCGUGAUGAGGUUGAAGUCGCAGGGCACGAUGGCCUCGUCCGUCAAUUGCUGUUGAUACGAUCAUUGAGGGUAUCUGUGGGUGCCAAUGCAGUUCUUUCAAAUCUCUCUGGCCCUGCUCAUACAAACAGUCAGGGUCAUGUAUUUCACUCUUUACAAGCAAUAGAACUGUGCAGGAAAAAUGAUGCAGCCACCAACGGUGAGGCCAUAAGUCGGUUAAUUUCUAACGCCAUCGUGAUAAAAUGAGAGAAAAAUUUAAUAGUAGUACCUGAUGAACAAAGAGAAGUUGUGGGGGUAAAUCUUCAGGUGCAUUUGCCUGCUCUUUCAUCUUCGCUCUGAACUCAGCUUCCUCUUCUGCAUCUCUUUCCAAUGAAAGGUCCCAAAUUCUAAAUCCAGACAAUUCAUGAGAGGUGUCAGCAAAUACUGGGAAAACAUUUUGGCAAUCCAGUGGAUCUAAAACAGGGAGGAGGGAGUGUUACGUGAGUUGAUGAUCUUCGGAUGUUACAGCUAAUGAUGAUGCUUCAUGUGGACUCCACUCGAUAGAUGUAAUUGCUUUCUUGUGGUACUCAAAAUGUGCUACCAACGAGUCCUCCUACCAGUACAAUAGAGAGCAUAAAGAAAAAAGAUUCACAAGCAAUAGUGAAGAAGUACAUAACCACAAUUACUAUCAUCAAUACAAAUAGCCGAAUAUGUCAAGAUAAACUGGGCAACAUGACAAGGGUACUACACCACGGUAACCAGCUGCACUGAUUUGUGCAAAGUGCACUAUUUACAUACUAGCAAUGAUGCAAAUAUCUACUGUAGGCUAUCUAUUUCAAAAAUCUAGUAGCAAAAACGUAGCUUAUAGAUUUUGAUCUAUUAGAUGGUUUAUUCAUUUUCUAAUAUCUUCGGAACACCCAAUCAUGUGUAAUUUUCUUUCCACAUAUUGCACAGAGGCAAACAGGGCCCAAUUUAGAGCAAAUUAUAGAAACACAAAUUAAGGAAAAUGUCAAGUUGGUUACACCGAAACUCACAAGCAUAGAAAAUUCUGAUAUAUCAAGGAGGAAAUACCUGAAUUGAUCUAAGAUCACGAACUGAGAAACUGCCAUCAUCACACCCUGAAGCUAUCAUGCAGCUAGCAAGCCUGAUAAUGCAAGUCAGAACAUGUGUAAAAUACUAUGCAGCAGAAGUUAUAGUACUCAUAAGGUUAAGAGUUUUCCAGUGGAUAUACCUAUUCCAUGAGAUAACAUUAGCAUCGGUUUUAUGAGCCUUGACAGACAUACGAGGUUUCUUCCCUGUACGUAUAUCCCAUAUCGCUAUUGUACCAUCCACAGAACAAGAGGCAAAUAUGUCGGCUUCCGUGGGACUCCACUGCAAGGAUAUACUUAUAUUAGUUGAGACAAUCACAUUCAAGGAAACAUAUGAAUAGGUACAUGAUGCAUCAUUCAGUGGCAUGCCUGAAGAUCUUCAACACUUGCAGAGUGUCCAACAAAUGGAUUUGGAUCUACAUUCCAGUUGGUUGGAGUUGGCUCCCACAGGUGAAUGCACUUAUUGCAGUCACCUGCAUAGAAAAAUCAUUAAGUCAUUCCAUCAAAAUAUCUAUACACGAAAUUAAAUGGUACCAAUAAUCUAUGGACAUGGAAUAGAGAGAACCACAUCAAAACAUUUUAGAUGACAAACAUUGUGAAAUGGACAAGAUCAUGUACACACCGGAAACAAGUCUUCCAGCAACAAGCGGACUCCAAUCAAUUGCAUAUCCCUCAUCUUUAUGGCCACUAAAUACUUUCACAGGUAAGUGUUUGUGGAUUAUGUCAUCUUCUUUGGGUGCAGGUGCCCCUGACUCAGCUAAAGAAUUAAGGAAGGAGCUCAAGUCCCACACCUGCAUAUUUAGCAACCGGCAAUGCACAAAAAAAGUCAAAAUAGUGCAUUCUGUUUCUGGACAGGUUUUCAAAAAGAAAUACAAUGCAUAUAGAAUAGAUGACAGGUUUAGAUUGCCAUUGAUCACAAUAACUGAAAAAGAAGUGUGAGGUAAGAACUGAAUUACCUGAACAUGACCAGUAUCACCCCAUGUAGCACAUAUAUGUGGUUUUUGAGUCAUUGAGCGUAUCCGAUUUACACAACCCGCAUGGGCCACUUUUUUUAGCUGGUACAUUGAAAUGUAGCAACAGAACACAUCACAAACUGUGUAUCAGCAUUACUUGCUAGAUAAUGAAAAACCUUGAUUUUUGUGGCAUAGUUUAGAAUUAUGAUCUUGAUUAGAAACAUACAUGUAAGAUGGGCUUUGUAUCCUCAUUAAUUUCUUCAUCUUCUUCAUCGCUGCUGCUGUCACUAUCCACAUCAGUGUCACCAUCAACUGCUGAAGGUGGUAUAGGUUCCCGCUUCUUCCCACUUAUGUUAGAAAGCUUGAAAAUGCCAAUAUAAUUCCAUGGAGCCUUCUCAGCCUGAAGAACAGUUUAGCUCCAAACUCAGAGAGACAAAACUAAUGUUUAAUGAUUAUUUGCAUUUCCACCAAUCUUUUGACAUCCUUUAAGCUGAAAUUUCCAGAGGAAGACCAAUUCAUUCAUAAAAGUUGAUGAAUUUAUGCUCAAAUUAAACUUCUAAUGAUCCAAAUUCGCUCAUUCGCAAUCAAUUACAAUUUGUAGUAAGAAUCAGGGUAUAAAUGCCCACAAGUUUCUGGCACGUUUUUUCUCUUUUGAGCUUAGAAUCAGCAAUGGCACACUUUUCAAAUAAAAAACAACUUAAUAAGAACACAAAUACAAACAUGCAACACCAUAGCAUGUUCCGCUGACAUUUUCUGCAAAAUUAAAAUUAAACUAUAGAAGAACAGGUGCAAUAGUACAAAUUAAUAUUCCUGUAGAAACGAUAAUUUAGAAAAGUAAAAAAAAAUAUGUGAAAGACAUGAAGUCAAGAAGUAAAAAUGUCUAGGUUUUGAAGUUGUAAAGAGUAACGCAACCUGUGUUCCAGCAACACCAUAGAAUGUAUGGGGGAACUCUGAUCGGACGAGUCCAAGUUGAUCGCGCACAACAUCAAAACUGCAACGGAAGGUUAUUCAUUGAGAAUGGAUCACAUAUUGGCCUUAACUUACACCCAAAUAAAGAAACAAUGCCCUAUGCGGGGAAACAUUACCUCAAGCAAGACCAGCCAAUGCUAAACCCUCGGAGAUAAUUGUAAGCCUCAGGAUCAAACUGGAGCUCCUCCCCAUCUUCCAGUGCAUCUACACCCGGUUGCCAGACCUAAGACGAAGCACUAAUUAAGGGUAUAGCUCGCACACUGAAACAAUAUGCAUCAUCUUAGAAAAGGAACAAACUUAAAAAAAAAACUUCAAAGCACAAAGGCGAUUCAUUAGGCGUAGCUUUUCGGGCAAACAUCACUAUUCCGGCUGUGUGAAAAAAAAGGAUAGGAAAUUUCUUCCUCACCUUGGCCGGACCAGAGGCAACCACAGGAUUAGAUGACGAUGAAGCUUCAACUUUCUUCAUCCCAGAAAUACAGAAGAAUUAGGCAAGUGAAGCAAAGAACAUACUGAAACAGCUGAAGAAACAAGCAUCAAUUGGAGCUCCAGAAAUAGUAUCUUGUAUGGUACCUUGGUCUUCUUGGAUUUAGUCAUUUAGCCUUCUUGGCCUUCUUGAUGGUGCGACCCAUGAGUGAAAGAAAUCAAUAAACUAUUGCAGGACAGAGCGCCGCAGAGGUGGGAGAACUUGGACUUGAGAGGCAGAACUCGAUCUUUAAAGAUAAGGAAAGAAAACAUAAACUCUUAAAACUUAACUUCAUCGCCCAAGUAAGUUAAAAAGGCAAAAAAUUAUUAUGACCUUGAAAUUCUCUAAUUAAAUCUAAUUAUGUAAUCAUAACUUAGUUUAAAUAAUAAUUUCACAUUAUUAUUGGACUUAAAAACACAAUAAAACAAGGCCUAAAAAAUUUAAGCAUAAUAGACAAUAUCAUAAGAAUGAAUAAAACAUAAGACAAACACUUAAGAUAAUUAAGCCCAGAACUUAUCUCAAUUUGGCCCAUAAGACAAAUACAUCCCACACUUACUCUAAUAUUCUUUUAAUGAUCUAGUCCACAUCAACUUUUUCAAGAAAUGGACAAUAUUAGUACAAUUUUACAGUGAAAUAUUAACCACAUGUCUCGUAAACUUCAUUUAUUAAACAACUCCACAUUACUGCUGGGAAAAAAUGAAGAAGAAUAAUAAUAUUUGUGGACACAUGAAUAAAUGUUCAUCAGAAUGACAAAUAUAAACCACACUAAUUCAAUUAGAGACAUGACCGUCCUAAUGAAUGCACAGCCCAACGUUUACCUAAAAGAAAAAAAAACAUAAUUUUUCAUAAUAAUAUUCGUGGACAGAUGGAUAAAUGUUCGUCAGAAUAACAAAUAUAAAAUUAUUUCAAUUAUUGAAAUUAUUUAGAGACAUAGUUAAUUCGGCCGAUGAUGGCAUACUGGCCGUGAUUUAUCUGGUAGCAUACAUACGGUAAUGUUUGGUACUUUCAUUGCACAGUGCCACACACAUAAUACAAUCGUAUCAUAUAUAGAGAACUGAAACCAUUUGCUGUCAAAGAGUGCUACCUGCUCAUGCAUCUUGGGUGUAAUGUAGCUACUUGGAUGAAGCGGUCGCAUGUGAAAAACGCUUAAAUGACUACACAUAUUGUUACUGCAUCAUUGCAUCAUUUUGAUCCACUGAAUCUCAGGACUGCUAUGUGUUUUGGAUUGAAAAUACAACCGUUUUCUCUCUCCUUUGUUAUUUUACAUCAUUGUUCCCUUCGGUCGUACAUGUACGAUAAGGUUGCUGCGUCGAUAAUGCAAUGAAUGUUUAUCUGAGUUGUCAUGGUCUAAGCCGUCGGGAUUAAGCGGGCGGCCCAGUCUGCGCCCUCCGCGGCUCGGGCCGCCCGACCCCUUGGGUAGAUCUGCAGGCCGGCGCGGCACGGAUCUGCAGGCGUCCUCGCCCCGUCCCCUCGUGCGGUCGCGCCCUCCGCGGCUCGGGCCGCCCGACCCCUCGAGUGGAUCUGCAGGCCGGCGCGGCGCGGCACGGAUCUGCAGAUGGCCGUCCCCGUCCCCUCGCGCGGUCGCGCCCUCCGCGGCUCGGGCCGCCCGACCCCUCGGGUGGAUCUGCAGGCCUGCGCGGAUCUGCAGGCGGCCGGCCCCGUCCCGUCGCGUGGUCGCGCCCUCCGCGGCUCGAGCCGCCCGACCCCUCGGGUGGAUCUGCAGGCCGGCGCGGCGCGGCGCGGAUCUGCAGGCGGCCAGCCCCGUCCCCUCGCGCGGUUGCGCCCUCCGCGGCUCGUGCCGCCCGACCCCUCGGGUGGAUCUGCAGGCCGGCGCGGCGCGGCGCGGAUCUGCAGGCGGCCGGCCCCGUCCCCUCGCGCGGUCGCGCCCUCCGCGGCUCGGGCCGCCCGACCCCUUGGGUAGAUCUGCAGGCCGGCGCGGCACGGAUCUGCAGGCGGCCUCGCCCCGUCCCCUCGUGCGGUCGCGCCCUCCGCGACUCGGGCCGCCCGACCCCUCGAGUGGAUCUGCAGGCCGGCGCGGCGCGGCGCGGAUCUGCAUGCGGCCAGCCCCGUCCCCUCGCGCGGUCACGCCCUCCGCGGCUCGUGCCGCCCGACCCCUCGGGUGGAUGUGCAGGCCGGCGCGGCGCGGCGCGGAUCUGCAGGCGGCCGGCCCCGUCCUCUCGCGCGGUCGCGCCCUCCGGGGCUCGGGCCGCCCGACCCCUCGGGGGGAUCUGCAGGCCGGCGCGGCGCGGCACGGAUCUGCAGGCGGCCGUCCCCGUCCCCUCGCGAAGUCGCGUCCUCCGCGGCUCCGGCCGUCCGACCCCUCGGGUGGAUCUGCAGGCCGGCGCGACGCGGAUCUGGAGGCGGCCGGCCCCAUCCCCUCGCGUGGUCGCGCCCUCCGCGGCUCGGGCCGCCCGACCCCUCGGGUGGAUCUGCAGGCCGGCGCGGCGCGGCGCCGAUCUGCAGGUGGCCGGCCCUGUCGCCUCGCGCGGUCGCGCCCUCCGCGGCUCGGGCCGCCCGACCCCUCGGGUGGAUCUGCAAGUGGCCAUCCCUGUCCCCUCGCGCGGUCGCGUCCUCCGCGGCUCGGGCCGUCCGACCCCUCGGGUGGAUCUGCAGGCCAGCGCGGCCCGGCGCGGCGCGGAUCUGGAGGCGGCCGGCCCCAUCCCCUCCCGCAGUCGCGCCCUCUGCGGCUCGGGCCACCCGACCCCUCGGGUGGAUCUGCAAGCGGCCGUCCCUGUCCCCUCGCGCGGUCGCGUCCUCCGCGGCUCGGGCCACCCGACCCCUCGGGUGGAUCUGCUGGCCGGCGCGGCGCGGUGCGGAUCUGCAGGCGGCCGGCCCCGUCCCCUCGCGUGGUCGCGCCCUCCGCGGCUCGGGCCGCCCGACCCCUUGGGUAGAUGUGCAGGCCGGCGCGGCACGGAUCUGCAGGCGGCCUUGCCCCGUCCCCUCGUGCGGUCGCGCCCUCCGCGGCUCGGGACGCCCGACCCCUCGAGUGGAUCUGCAGGCCGGCGCGGCGCGGCACGGAUCUGCAGGCGGCCGUCCCCGUCCCCUCGCGCAGUCGCGCCCUCCGCGGCUCGGGCCGCCCGACCCCUCGGGUGGAUCUGCAGGCCUGCGCGGAUCUGCAGGCGGCCGGCCCCGUCCCGUCGCGCGGUCGCGCCCUCCGCGGCUCGAGCCGCCCGACCCCUCGGGUGGAUCUGCAGGCCGGCGCGGCGCGGCGCGGAUCUGCAGGCGGCCAGCCCCGUCCCCUCGCGCGGUCGCGCCCUCCGCGGCUCGUGCCGUCCGACCCCUCGGGUGGAUCUGCAGGCCGGCGCGGCGCGGCGUGGAUCUGCAGGCGGCCGGCCCUGUCCCCUCGCGCGGUCGCGCCCUCCGCGGCUCGGGCCGCCCGACCCCUUGGGUAGAUGUGCAGGCCGGCGCGGCACGGAUCUGCAGGCGGCCUCGCCCCGUCCCCUCGUGCGGUCGCGCCCUCCGCGGCUUGAGCCGCCCGACCCCUCGGGUGGAUCUGCAAGUGGCCGUCCCUGUCCCCUCGCGCGGUCGCGUCCUCCGCGGCUCGGGCCGCCCAACCCCUCGGGUGGAUCUGUAGGCCGGCGCGGCGUGACGCGGCGCGGAUCUGCAGGCGGCCGGCCCCGUCCCCUCGCGUGGGCGCGCCCUCCGCGGCUCGAGCCGCCCGACCCCUCGGGUGGAUUUGCAAAUCGGCGCGGCGCGGCGCGGAUCUGCAGGCGACCGGCCCCGUCCCCUCGCGUGGUCGCGCCCUCCGCGGAUUGGGCCGCCCGACCCCUCGGGGGGAUCUGCAGGCCGGCGCGGCGCAGAGCCUCCCCUCGGUGAACCUCAUACCGCAGCGCCUUGCAGCUUCCUCUACAUCCGCCGCGGCCAGAUCGCCGUGGGGCGUCACGGGUGCCUCCAUGCCUAGAUUGCCACCGUCGUCUUUAGCGUCUGGGAAUGCGACGCACCUCGCCGUUGCCGUGCCCGGCCUGAAGAGGAGGAUCAGGUCGUGCUCGAGGUCGAUGAACAGCAGCUGGGAGCCGUCGUUACGUGCGACGACGGUGUGCGCCUCGAACGUCAGCCACUCCUGCCCGCCCGUGACCUCUAACAACUUCCAGUCUGCCUCGUCGUUCGACAGUUCCUCAAAGUGGCGCGGAAGCUGGGCGGCCAUGUCCGUGGCUGUCCAGGAUGAUGAAGAGGAUGUGAAACAUAUCAUGCGGUGGUGCACAAUCGACGAUGAAGAGGAGGAGGGGCGCGACGCCGAAUCGCUUUGAAGUUGUGCCACCACGUAGUGGCUGCCGGUGGCGGGGAGGAUCCCGGUGCAGUCUUGGAGCCCGAACUAUAGGACGACGAGCCCCGCAGGGACCCUAGGCACCUGGCGUGCCCUACGGCUCCCGGUAAGGCAGACGAGAAGGUGUCCGCUGUCGGGCCCUCCCCGUGCCGAUAGCACAAAGAGUAACAGGUUUCCCUCUCUGACGGUGCACUCCACGCGGCUCUCGUGGUCGCCUAGGGGAAUCAACGUGCAGCUGAGGAGGAGGGUGGGGAGCCCCGAUGGGGUGGCGUGGAGGACAGCGUAGUCAGCAUCCAACGCUAGUAGGUCUUGACGGUCGACGAGCUUGGGAUUUCUCUCGAGAACAGCCCACGCGCGAGCGCGACGGUAAGGUCCGGCCGCGCGAGACGCGGCCCUGACGGCGGCGGCGGUGAGGCUUGGUCGCGAAUCCGACAUAGGGUCGGUCACGACCUGAGCGUGGGGGGUGGGUUUCGGUAGUGAGGGGGUGGUCGGCGAGGGAGAGACGGAGGAGGGGGUUUAGGGGGUGUGAGGAACGGCGGUGCCUGCGCUGGUGGCCUGGUUAUAUUAAAAAAAGGAGGAAAAAAAGGGGAGGGGAAGGGGAAGGGGAAGGGGAGGAUCGGACAGCUGGCUGGAAUCUACGUCCGUAACCUAAAUGUACACGUGUGUUUGAGAGGCCCGUUGCCCGGCUGACGUUGCUGGCCGUGCCAACAGCAAGUAAUCUUGGAGCCGGCAGCAGUGAGCACGUCGCCCAGUACACGGCUCCAGCAUGUCGUCCAAUAUAACGAACUCUGCAUGCGCCUGCCACCUCGGCGAGGCCGUUAAUCCGUCAUCAUUGCCUAGCGCUGCACCACCGGCACGGCGGCCUCGCUCGGGGCUGCGCGCCAGCCGGGCGGCGACGUCCAUGCUGCACGCCCGCACCGGACGUGCUGGCCGGGCCGCAACACUGUCAUCCACCGCGCCACGAGUACCCGAUCUUUCCCCGUCGGCGGCGAGCUCGUGUUGUCGAUGACGGCAGUGCCGAGGCGGUGAGCAUGGUGCACGGGUGGUCACACGUGGUGCCAGUUGGGCUGAGAAGCGUGCGUGGCCGGAUCCACUUGUGCUCGAACACGGCCGCCGUCCGAGCGCUUCUUCAUCGAUCGCCAGGAGGCCAGUGGUGGCUCUCAAGACGGCGAGCUCGAGUACACCAAUUGGCGCCAGCCUUUGAUAUGAUGCUGCCUCUGUGGAGGACGAGCCUGCCAGCCCAGCAAGAGGCACGCGAACGGGCUGGGGUCACGCCGCCGGCGACCUCGACCACCAAACUUGAUGUGGCGCCUCUGUGGUCAUGUCCUUCCACAUGGAGGGAGAUCUCCAUUCUUGACUUACUCCACCCGCGCUUGCAGCACCGCGCCAUGAUCGGCGAGCGGCCAUGCGGCGUCACGCGCGCGCUGCGGCUGCGCCGACAUCACGCUCAUGCCUGCGGUGCGCUGCGCUGCGCUCGCUCCAGCUGAGACGACACGUUCGCCGACGCCUACGCCACUCUCUCGAUCGCCUCCAUGACCACGCACGUCCAGAACAGCGGCGCGCUCGCCGUAGGCCAUCUAGCUAGCUGUGUUGCUGCUGCAUCCAUCCUGCUCUCGAAAACCUCCGGCACGACGGGGCUCGAGCACCCACGGCGAGUGCGGCUGCGAGCUCGCCGGCGACGAUGACGAGCACGGAGCACGGGUCCAACACGUCGACUCAAUGAACUGUUCUUGCCCUGCCAGCUCGGCGCUCGAGGCCGUGUCGAGGAGCGUGCGUGCCCGGAUCCAGUUCGUUCCGUUCUGCCGGUGCUUGGCCACGCAGCACGCGUCGACGGGCGCCGCUCUCGCGCCGUUCCGGAGCUUCUUCAUCGGCAGGGGGCCGGUCGAUCGCUCGCAAGACUGAGAGCUCGAGGACACCAAUGGGCGCCAGGAUGGCUGGAAGUUGCCGGCUUAUAUUACGUCGUCAGCUCGUCGACGACGUGGUACGCAGGAUCGUACAUAGUAUUCGCAAAGCUGCACUUUGCUCAUGAGCUCGUGGCGCCAUCCCCUGUACGUCCCAGUCAUUACCGGUCACCACUGCCAUUGGCUUGAACUUGUUCUUGUCGUGACGAGCUGGCCCAGCACCUCGUGUUGUCAUCAAACAGUGUAAUAUAUCAAUUUUCCAAGCGUUGUAAACUAAAUUGCGUUGCACAUGCGACUGUUUCAGUCUUCUCUAUGCAUUGCUAACAUGAUAAUGCCAUUUUCUUGCACUAUGACAUCAUAUUGUCAUCUCUCUCGUUCGGCCACACUACUCUAUAUGCUUCAUUUGUACUGUUGGGGAACUGCCAGGAAAGGCUCGAAGGUCAGUAUGAGCCCGAUGACCUCUGUCAAAUUCAAUAGCAGAAACACCAUAUGGUCUCCUGAACAUACAUGAAAAAUGCAAGGAUCAAUCAAAUACAUCUUCCAAUCGACACCCUCCAUGGUGAUUGUACUAGGGUAAUAUUGGAGUAACUUUUUUUUAUAUGCAAUAAAUUAUCACACUUGUUUUAUACAUUAGAAUGGUAGCACUGCAACUUAUAUGGUUCUUCAAACUAAAGCAUAUAUAUAGUCUAUACCUGGAAAAAAUGCGGCAUGUUGGCGUUUUUGUGCCCAUGAGAAUCUGCAUCCAGAGGUAUUUCAACAGUGAGUCUCUUCUUCUGAAUACAUGUGUUGUUUGGAUUGGUCCAUGCUUUCAUUCUUAUCAGACAAAAUGCAAUCACUAAGCUAGGAAUAUUAGUUUAAAAUAGCAAAAUUUUCUCCACUAAGAAUUGAGAUAGCAUUAUAUGAACAACAAGAAUGCAAGAAAGCACCAGCCAUACGUACAUAAUGCCUGCUCCAGCUGGAGCAAAAGCCUUCGACAAAGACAUUGCUGUUGUAGCUAUUCCAUUUGCAGCACCCCUUUGUUCUUGUGGCUAUGAAUAGCAUUCAAUUCAGAUAUUAUAUUUAUUUACGAUUUUGGCAUUAGUACGAAUACCAAUCAAUUCUUGUUAAGAUAUGGGAUAAUAAAUAAAUCGAACAGACAUAAGUUGACACAUACCACAGCAUUGUUCUGUAGCAGAGAAGUGCCAGUAACUCUUGUUAUCUGAUCAAGAUACGCACAUAUAUAACCAUCAUUUUAUUUCUCAUAAAUUUCUAAUGCUAUAUAUGAGCGUACCUAUUUAACCAUGUAUAGUGUAGUGGUAAGUGAGGUGAUGUAUUUUAACUAUCAUCAUAAAGUACUUACUGCAAAAACACUUUUUAGCAUUGCUGCAAUGUAGAGUGGCACACCGAGUCUUAUUCCUGAUAAGUGUGUCAUAAAGGGAUAAGCAGCAAUUAUUGGUAUAGACAAUGCCUGCGAGCUCAAGAUCAAUUGUUAAGAACUACAAGUAUUUUUAACAGAAAAAUAGGCAAUAAUAAGUACAGACAAACUACAAAUAGUCAAAUAAUUGUGACUUUAGCAACUCACUGAUGAAAUUUGGGUUGAGUGGAUAGGUCCAAAAGUUUUAUUAACCCAAUGGUAUGCAAAGAGUUGAUAAACUAGAAGGCUGGCGCCUACAAUUCAACGAAGGAUGAUUAUUGACCUUCCAUAAAGUACAGUCAGUACAUCUUAUUAACUAUAAAACACAAAAAACACUGAUCAAAUGGUUGCGUAAGAUUCCUUAGAGUUUUUGGGAAAGCAGUUGAUUGAAUUGGAAUUACCUGCAACUGUAAGAACUUGGCCCACAUCUUUAGAUAAAAAGCUAAGCCCACCAUAUUUUCUAUUACUUACAGUCCAUAGAGAAAAUAUCUGAUAUUGAAUUACAACAAAUAAAUUUCAGAACCAUUGUAUUUCAAAGUAGCAGAGCGGAUCGAGUAAGUGGUACCUCAGCAUAUGCAGUGUCAUGGAGGGAGAAGACACAAUAUGUGAUAAUAGAUGACAUCAAUGGCCAGUUUUUGAGUAAGCUCUUUUUAGGUAGUUCUGUGCUUUCUUGAUUAGUAGAACUUUCUACCAUUUCAACUCCUCUGUCAAGGCCUUUGUGCUUAUGUAGGGUCUCCUGUUUAUAGUUAGUCCAUGAAUGAUAAGUAAAUUAAAAUAACAGUAGAAAAAGCGCAUGUGUGUAAGAUUAUCGAGCCUUUGUGUAUUUUAAGGUAGGAUAGAAUAUUAACAUGGAAUCGACUACUUUAGUGUUCCAACAAGACAUGUUUAUGUGUAAAUUAAUCAUAAAACACACGAAAAACUCUUCAUGAUGACAUUAAAACAAUAAUUUCAAAGCAUACAUAGAGUCAUAGAGUAGGUCGUACUUACCGGGAGCCAUGCACAACUUAUGAAAACAAAGGUAUCAAAAAGUGAGAUACAUAUACAUGGCAAUAAAUAUGGGAACCUGCAUGAUGUUGGAUCAACAAGAUAAAAUUUUAAAAAGAUCAUUCUAGCUUAGUGUUAAAAAGAAAUUUAAUUUUAGCUGAAAGGAAUACCUUCCAAACACUGACUUCUCAUGAAACAGAUGUGGAUAUUGUUUGACAGGCUAGCAAUAAGGAUGGAAGACACAAUAGGUUAAUAUUAAUCCAAAUAGUUGAGAAAUAAUAUAUAAUCUGUGUGAGAUACCUGUGCUAGGUAGCCCCCAAUUGCUGGGCCAAUUAUAACACCCAUUCCCCAUGCUGUGCUGACCUAAAUUUGAUGAAAUGGAUCAUACUGAGUUCCAGGUACGCAAUUAUUUAUGUCAUACUAUGCGGCAAGUGCUGAGCGUUUAUAUGUGGAAUUGAAACCUACAAUUGAUAUACCCAAAGCUUGCUGUUCAGGUUGACAAACUUCGAUGGAGUAGGCCUGCAGAAGAAAGCAACAAUUACAUUAUAUUGAUUGGACCUUUGCUGGAAUCAGGGCAGCAACUGAUAGUAAAAUAUUUCUUUUAUUUGUUUUUAGGAAUUGCCACUUGUAUGCAUGCAACUAAAUACCUUAAUUUACUGGUCCGUUCAAAAAAAAGUACCUUUACUGGUGCAAGGAAUCCAUUCAGGGCACCAAGAAGAAACCUUGUUGCGAUAGCCAUCCAAUAUUUCACACUCAGUCCAAACAAAGUGUUGAAGACAAUGCUAAAAUACAGGUUUGGAAAUGGGUCAGAGAUCAUACGUAACAUAAUGCAGGUCUACUUUUGGAGUACAUUUUGGUUCCCUUUCUUAGGUGAAGAAAGAUAUAUACCAUGAGUACUUACACUGAAAAUACUGAAAUUGCAAUUACAGGCUUUCGUCCAAUACGAUCAGCUACUAUACCCCAGAAGACUGAGGCAAUACCUCUACCGAUCAUAUAUGACGCACCUAAGGGAAAAAAAAAGGCAGGUACGCACCAUAUAUGAUAAUUUUCAAGAGCAACAAGUAUGCUUGGUUGUUGUUGACACUUGGCUGUGAUAAAUCUUACCAAGAAAACCAGCGUAGAAUCCAAUGUCUUCUUCUUUUUGAGCAACAUGCAUGUCUCUUAUCUGUUUUAGAAAUCAGCAGUUUAUUAAAAAAAACACAUAUUUGAUUGAGAUAUCAGUUACUACAUGAGUACAUAACGUUUCAGAAGAAACAUCUACAUAGCUGGCACAGCCAGUCGAGGAGGAAGAAUGUCCAGCAAUAAAAAAAAAAGAGAGAAGCGAGGAUAUCCGAUCCAAAUCUAACAAGAGUUGCAGUAAAAUAAAACCAUCCAUGGAUACGAAGCGAUUAAGAAAUGAAGGAAUUAGUAGUAUGCCGUAGCAUCAGCAUGUACGUUGGCUGGAUAGAUAAUGACGUAUAUUAUUGUACGUACCCGAGGCGAAGGUGAUGAUGCCGACGAAGAGUAGCUCCUUGUAGGGAACGCCCUUGUGGCUCUCCUUCUUCCUGUCCAUGGCGCAGCCGGGACACCCCUCGUAGUACACCUUCCCUGGCGGCGAUGGCGGCGGCGGCAGCUCCCCCAUUUCAGCUCAGCGCGGCCGAGUGAAAGGCGAUGAAUGAGUAGGAUCGAGCAGGGCGAGGCGCGUCAGAAGAGAGGAUGAGGAGAGACAGAGAAAGGCUAGCUGAAGGAUCUGAAGGAAGGAGCGGAGGCGUGGAAGGAAACGUGGAAGGUGCCGUGGGUCCUUCCCUUGGUCGUCGGUCCGCGUGCCGGCGUUACGUCUGCGCCACAAACCGAUGGCGAGGACGCUGAGCGGGGUGACAGAUGGCCUGCGACCUGACACGCCUGCGCGGGGGGCCCUACCGUGCUCGGGCGACGCCUGCCUGCGGAUGUGCCCCUGUGCAACGCCGACUGCAAGUCUGAGAGCGAUCGAGGCAUGUGUCGCGAAGCCACUCUGAAGUCUGAAUACUGAGCAGGAAAAAAAGAUGUGAAAGUUAAAGACGGGGACCUGACUAGGACCGAUAUUGACGAAACUAGCAGCCGUCAAUCUGCAUCGAGCAAUGGCGGCCUGGGGAAGGAGAUCAUCCUACCAGAAAACCUCAGGUGAUUGGUCACUCCAUAAGUCAGUCCACUGCAGUGGAAGAAUGUGUGAGUGACUAGGUAGGUAGUGAAAAAUUUCCGCAGGCUUCUUCGUUGAUUACCUGCUAAAAGACUGCUCCCGAUCGAAGAAGCUGCUGGAUAUUCCUGUUCGCCACCUGCCGGAAAUUGACCUCAACGGCACCAGCGACAGCGAACAGAGAAAAGGAGAUCCAAACGACAAAAGGAGAUGCACAGGCGUUGUUGGGCUGCAAAUUAAAUCCUUCACUGAUUUCCCCUGGAUUUUCUUUGUAAAAAGAAAGAUACCCUGGAUUUUCUUUCAGGCCAUGCAUGCAGCCUGCUAAAAAGAGCCUUUCAGUUUCAGGUAAGGACGUCAGGCUGACAUGCUCAGGAUGGAUCGUCAGAUAUAUUCGUCCAGACAGGAAUAGUUGUACUUGAACCACGUCACUAGCUACGUCAGUGCGUGGACGCAAGGUGAUCCACCAAAUGCGCGGGUGCCUGACUCCGGAGACGGAGAGGAAUCGAGUGCCCGCUUGCAAACUGCAGACAGCACAAAUCGGAGUUAAACGACGCCGUGUCAAAGCAUCCAUUCAGCUUCAGCUUGUCACUGUCUCUUCCGAAUAACAUUAGAGAGACGGCAUGCAGGGUGAUGAUGGCAACGAAGAGCAGUUCCUUGUAGUGGAUGCCCCUGCGGCUCUCCUUCUUCCUGUCCAUGGCGCAGCCCGGGCACCGUCGUAGUACACCUUCGCCGGCGCACCGUCGGCCAUUUCAGGUAGGUCCGGCGGCCUCUCAGCCUCGAUCGAUCGAGGCAACCGAUGAACCGAGGAUCGCUGACAAAAGAUCACUGUGUCUGCCUUUCAGCUGGUAAACAGCGAGCGAAAGAGAGAGGCUAGUGGUGACCAGAGCAGGCGAUGAACUGGCUUAAAAACCCUAAGCUAGAAGGCAACGAAUUUAUGUAGCUAUCGCGUAUCUGCAAGUGGUUACUAGUUUUAUCAGCCAUACAUAAAAAGCUAGCCAUCUCUAAUGGAUGGAUGCUCACUUUCAUCAUGAAAAUCAAUAAAAGCUUUCUUUAUCAGAAAAAAUACAAUACUGCUACACUUUAUCUGAUCAAAGUUGUAACCACAGAAGUGCGUUGUAGCCUACAGUACUAGUGCCAAAUGACACCAAGGAGAUAGAGCUAAGAGUUUGGACGCUACCUAUCCCACAUACGGCUAAUGUUUAUUCUACCAUAGCGCUGGGACACAGAUUUGGUAACAUGAUCCCCAAAUUAAUCUGCAAAAUCACUGCAUGGCUAAUUACUAAAGGAUCAAUCCACAAUGAUGAACUCCAGUACACACAAAUGAUUCUGAUGAUUCCUUAAUUUAUUGAAGAAUAGACAAGUCAUUAUGGCACCUGGCUUUGGGACUCAAUAUAAGGAGCGGUUCAGGUUAAAGCCUGAGCCGAACAUUAGCAAGAUGUAUGCUGCCUACAAUAACAUUACAAAGUUAUAAUACACCGUUUUUCAAAAAAAUAUAUUACAAUUUAUCAAAAUUUUCAUUAAUCAUAUAAGACAUCCCAGCCCCGUGGGCUAGUUGGGCCGGGCCAGAUUCGUGUUAUUGUAACAUGCGGCUACUAUAGUGACGAAAACCAUUGUGGCAUCGGGAGAUAGUCCCAAACCGGAAACGGAGAGGGAGUUGAACCAGCUUAAAUAGCUGGCCUGAGGAAGCUAGUAACUCCGGUUGCAAUUUUUUACAUAAAGUGAGGAUGAAAGUACAAAAGGGUUAAUUAGCAGGUGUGGCCCAUUCGACGUGUAUUGUGAAUCUUUGCUGUUUUUCUAAGCUAGGUUGUUACAUCAUCUGACCACCUUAAUUAGCUUUUGACGGAAACAAAAUCCAAUCUGUCCUUGUUUUGUUCAGAUUCUAGACAGCAGAUCAAACUUCCACAUUCUGAACCUUUUAGAGCACCAUUGACCAUCAUUAUUUCCUUUUUUUCUCAUGCUUGACCAAGUGUAAUUACGUCCCAGUGAACCCCUCUUUCAGAGUCUCUAGCCUUAAUAUACUAUUCUGGUAAUGCAGGCAACACCAGAAAGGGUUCAAAGGUGGAUAUCAGCCCAAGCAGCUGCACCAAAUUCAGCACCACAAACACCACCUGAUCACCUGCAAAUUCAACAAUCCAAAUUGGAUAAGCAUCAUAUACAUGUUCCUGUUCUCUACCAUCACAAGGAAAUAUCCCACAUAACGAAACCAUGCUUUUUGUAUACUAGUUUAUUACCAUAGGAAAAAAAAUGAAACCUUAUGCAAGGUAUAGUAGGAAAUUGAUAGUUUACCUGGCAGGAAAGUAGCAUCUUGACGUUUUUGUGCCCAUGAAAAUCUGUGUUGAUGAAUGUGAAUUCAGAGUUUAGGAUACACAGACAGAAUAAUAAUGAUCCACCUUUUUUACUUUCUAUACUUUGUUUUAACGCACUCUUUGGACAUAAGGUGAUAGAGAAAUUUUAAGUUCUAUGUUUACGAGAGGCUUGUGAAAAUUUUAGGAGCAUAUUCUAUACCACUACCCCGUCCCAAAUUAUAGGUCGUUUUGACUUUAUUAGAUUUAUAGACUUUGUUAUGCACUUAGAUAUACCCUAUGUCUAGAUGCAUAAAUCUAUGCAUCUAGAAAAGUCAAAACGACCUAUAAUUUGGAACGGAGGGAGUAUAUAUUAAGGAGAGAUGGAAAUUGAUACUUACAGAGCCCCUGCCCCUACUGGAGCAACUGACUUGAAAAAUGACAUUACAGUUGUCGAUAUACCAUUUGCCGUGCCUCUUUGUUCUUGGAACUAGAAUUGAAUUUUAAAUAUAUUAGAUAGUUUUAUUUGAUUUGUGUAAGCAUACUAUCCCAUCAAAUUCACUUGAGUUCAUACAUACCACGGCAUUAUUCUGUAGAAGGCAAAUUCCUGUUGUUACAGUAAUCUGUAUAGGUUGCAAAAGAAGAUUAUGUAGACUUGAAUACCAUUAAAAUUAUUAAAAACUACUAUUUAUUCGCCACUAUGUCUUCCAUAGAAAAGGAGUUAUUAGCUUACAAAUGGUGCGGCGAGUUAUGAAGUAAUUUGAACUGUGAAGAAAGAAAGAACAAUGCUUACUGCAAGAGCACUUUUCAUCAUGGCUGCAGAAUAGAGGGCGAAAGAAAGUUUCACUCCAGAUAGGUAUGUCAUAAAGGGAUACGUUGCAAGAACAACUAUAAACACAGCCUGCAAUGUCAUGUUGAAAUUUUAAGUGAUGAUCAUGAGAUAUGUAUUUUUAUGUUUAUCUUUUGAAGAAACAGUAGGAGGCAACUCACAGAAGCAACACGUGAUGAGUUGACUGUUCCACGCACUUUAUGAACCCAGCGAUAAAUGAUAAGCUGGUAUACUAGAAGACUAGCACCUAUUAUAAAGAAAAUGAAAGGAGAAAAUCCAUAUCAGUGUCUAUACAUUCACACAGAACGCUGCAAACAUCUUUAGCUGGGAGGGAUGGCAAUGUAAGCGGAGGGCAGAGGGAUGUGAUACCUGCCAUAGCAAGAACUUCACCAAUGUCUUUAGUUGAGAAGCUGAGGCCACCAUACUUCCGAUCGCUCACAGCCCAUAAGGAUAGUAUCUAGUAUUGAAAGAUGCACAUCAGUGGUGGUCGGACAUCUUUGUUCAGAGCUAUGCGCGAAAGGUGAAAUUGAGUAGUUAAAGCAGUAGUGCAGUACUAUAAUAGAGGUUUUUACUCAUGAGGAAUGUGUUGAAUAUCAUUUAUAUGGGCUUACUAAGUAUCAUCCAAAAUAUAAAAUACCCCACUGAGUACUAACAGGCUAAAUAGGACAUGAAUUCUUAGAGAAUAUGAUUUAUUUUUACCUCACUAUAUGCUGUGUCAUGAAGGCUAAACAAACAGUAAGGUAGCAUAGUUGAUACCCAAGGCUUGUUCUGAAGCAAACUCUUCCUGCGAGGUGAAUCCCGAUAAUUGUCUUUUGGUGGCAAUGCUUUGACUAUUUUGGUAUCCUUUUCAGGAACUUUAUGUUUGUGUAUAGUCUCCUGUAGUAAAGUCACGUUAAUAAUAAGACUAGAUAAUAUUUGCAGUAAUAGAGUGACAAUAUGCCUCAAAUGAAGUUAAGUAAAUACUACUAUAGUAUAGCGUAGAAUACAUAGCAAGCAUAUUUUCUACAAAAAUGACCACACUACACUCCAGUAGUGUAUUUAUUAAUUGCAUCUUGGGCAGCACAUGCUGCAAGUUAUGUUUAUUGGAGAAUUUAUGGAAUACAAGAUUUGAUUUUAUCAAGCAGAAGCAAAAAUAAUGACAAAAAUUAGUGUCAAUAUUUUCUAUAGGCAACUAAAACGAUGAGAGAUUUUUUUAGUUGAAAUGUUACGUACCGGAAGCCAUGUACAGCUUAUUAGGACAAUUGUAGCAAAUGACGAUACACUUAGACAGGGUAAGAGGUAAGGAAAUCUGCAAAAUCCAAUUAAUUGAGCUAUGAUAAUAUGCAAAUGUACACCACUAAUUUCUAGCAAUUUGUAAUGGACUAUAGUUGCGCCUGGAUAAUUUACCCGGCAAAAAUUGAAUCUUUGGAAAAUAUGUGAGGAUAUUUUUCAGUAGGCUGUGAAAGAAAAAAGAGACUGGAGUAAGAAAAUAAGAUACUUUUUCUCUCCUUUUCUUUUUUGAACUGGUACCUGUGCAAGGAAGCCUCCAAGAGCUGGACCAACAAUAAGACCCAAAGCCCAUGCCGUGUUCACCUAUGAUUAAAGUACAUUCAGUUAGACUAAUCUUCGCAAUGAAAGGGUUACGUAUAAAAUACGCAGAGCUUGAUUCAUGAGAUUACAAGUGAGAGUCCAAGUGCCUGAUGUUCAGUUCGACAAACUUCAAUGCAAUAUGCCUACAAAGGUUGAUGAAUGUAACUUCUAAUUUAGCAUACUCUUUUUGAAACACAUAAGUUAUAGUCUACGGAUUUAUUGAAACUAGUAAUUUAGAAGUACCUUUAUUGGGGCAAGUAGGCCAUUUAGAGCACCCAGCACAAAUCUUGUAGCAAUUGCCAUCCAAUAUGUUGUACUUAGACCAAACAGUGUGUUAAAUAUGACCCUGUAUAGUGCAUGCAUGUGGGAAAAUGAAUUGAGUACUAAACAAAUAUUAAAAUCUAAAUGAGCUAACAAUGAAAUAUAAUUUCUGUAAUACAUACACAGACAAGAUUGAAAAUGCGAUGACAGGCUUCCGUCCAAUACGAUCAGAGAGAAUGCCCCAAAAAAUUGCAGCAAUGGCUCUGCCCACCAUGUAUGAUGCAGCUGCAAUUAGAAAAUGCAUUCCCAUAAGUAUUUUACAUUUAAAUUUUGAGCUUUGUGUGAUAUUAGUACUCCAACUUUAAUAAUAUCUAACUUAAAAAUCGAUGGUGAGACAGAAACUAUACCUAGAAAACCAGCAUAAAAACCAAUAUCUUCCUCUGUUUUAGAAAUGUGGAAGUCCCUUACCUAUGAAAAGCAGGAAGAAAGAUAUUACUAAAUAAGCAUAAGGUAUACAAUCGAGAAUAAUCUGAUUAUGUUAAUGAUAACAUUAGGCUGAGUCACAUCAGACCGAGGAAACUACUUGGGUGUGGAAAUAUCCUCACAACAAAAUGCAGAUGUGUACCUCCCAAGUCUAAAUUAUUGGAAGUUUGGAACUCAUUCGGUUUAGAGGUAUACAAAACAAAAGAAAUCUUUUGACAUCUAUGAGCAGCAGAUUGCUACAAGUACAAACUUAAACUACUUCCAAAGGCUCCUACAAUAAACUGAAACUACAAUUCAAAAACAAAAAUGAAACUGAAGUCAUCACAACCCAUUACUUGCAGUGUUCCUAUCUUUGGUCAUCUCGGCACAGCGUGAGUAUAUAAAACGGAGAACAUGGGUACAUAAGCCACUGAUUGCGCUGCAUGCUGCUGUAGGAUCGUAGCCACCGAUUGAGUAAUUAAGGUCAUAAAGAAUGUCACCGUCCUCAAGAUUAAUACAAAGUGAUAUACAAGUAGAUGACUGACUAGAUAACAUGACAGUACAUACCAUGAAAUAGAUGAAUGGGAAGAGGCACGUGAUUGGUAAAGCUGAAAAAAACACAAGGGAAAAAAAGUUACAUUAUCGUUAAUAUUUUGUCUGAACCAGAUCUCAGCUUGCAAAUUAUUGAAAACAUUGAUCGAGUAAUUAAAACAGUUAGUAAAGCGCGCACAGCUAAGGCGUUAGAUGGAUGCAAAUGAGAAAGGAACAAGGUGGCAGGUAGCUAGACAUAGUAGCCAGACACAUAAGAGAGCAAAGCUGCUGCAGACGCAACUGCUCCCUAUGUUUGUUAGUUUCAACUUGAAUUUCUGACUUCAAUUUGGAAGCUCCAUCAUCAGUCGUCUUAUAUACUAGCAGUUACACAAAAAGGGGAGACUAAACAGCCGUAUUAGUACCGAUCCAAUCGGGACUGGCACAGAAUAUUAAGUUCUGUUGAUAGCUUGGUCUUAGCCAGCAUCCUACAUGCAUGAACAUAAUGCUGGAUCUCAGAUGGCAUUGCCAUAAAAAGAUAACUUUUCGGACGAUUUUUAAAUAUCGAGUUGCAGCCUUUUAAGAGCAAUGGUGGGCUGUCUUCUGCUUUUCGUUGUGAUCAGCUAGACGAAGUUAUGCUACCUAGAGGAGGCAGAUCAAGAUUCAGGCAUGCACCUUCCUACAACAGCAACAACUACCAAAUAUUUACAUGCAUGCACGUCCAAUUUUCUAUCACGGGUGGGGCCAGCAACAUGCUCUGUCCUGUUUGGUCCAGGCAGAAUGUCUCCGGCGACGCUCAUCACCGGCGGCCGGCGAGCCGGCAGCGGUGGCGGACACUACUUAGAGCAUAAUGCAAGCAUUCCCUGACGACCGAACUAGGCAAGAAUCAAAAUUGGCACAGUGCAGGCUCGAGUUCGAUGUAGUACACCGGAUGCGUGCAUGUCCAACAGAGUAGCUAGCAAAACCCAAGAUGACUGAACCCAGUUGCCGCGCGCAAGGCAUUGUCUAGAGCCUAAUGUAGAGCAACAGUAAUCGAAAUACGUACAUGAGGCGAGGGAGGUGACGCCGACGAAGAAGAGCUCCUUGUAGGGGAUCCUCCCUUUGCUGCUCGCCUUCCGCCGCUCCAUCACGCAGCCGGGGCAACCCUCCACCGCCGGCGCCGGCAGCAGCAGCGGCGCUUCCUCGGAGCCCAUCUCGACAAGACAAUUUGCUUCGGUCACCUAGCUACCUAGCUAUCUGCAAUGCAAAGCCACUAUCACACUGGCACAGCAUGCAACUGCUCAAGCUCCCUGCUCCUCUAUAUAUCCAUCCACAACACGGGUGGGCGCGGCAAUGCUGCUGCCUGCAGAGAACGUGCUCCACGAGCAAUAACAGUUUACCCCCACCUGGAACACAAAGAUAGCUACACAACAUCCAAUUUUUCUGACAAAAAUGUUCUCCACAACUUCGCUUCCACAGUUUUAGUAUGUGCUCUCUGGCUGGUCUCUAUUUACAGAAAAAUACAUGUCCGAUUAAGGAUGCCAUGUUUUUUACACGACGCGAAGGAUGGGCCAGUCAGCAGAACAAAUAGAAUCUUGAACAAGCAGAGCAAAUAGAACCAAACCAGAUAAACCAUCAGGGUAGAAUUGUCUACUAAUUUCAUUUCCAACAAAUAAUUCGGAGUUGUUGUACCUUACGUUAUUGCUACUUACAGUGUAGCAACUCGGCACAAAUGCCUGUCUAAUCAAAAGCAAGCAAUCGAUUGGCCGCCAUUUACCAAUUAUGCAUUUCCUCUACUAAAAUGCUGCAGUUACAUAAUAGCACUUACAGUUACACGCAAAAAUCUCCAUUUUCCUCUUUCAGGUUCCUCCUGGUGGAAGGGCAUUAUGCCCUUUACCUCACGGGUGCGUGACUUUUCCAUUUUCCUCUCUCAGGUUCCACCUGGUGGAAGGGCAUUAUGCCCUUUACCUCAUGGGUGCAGGACUCUAUUUGAAUAUUCCUAAACUUCCACAAAUUGAGUUUUUAAUUUCUAUUAUAUUGCUCUGGCACAGCCAAAAAGGGUUUGAAUGUGAGAAUAAGUCCGAGUAACUCAAUCACAUUCAGAAGAAAGAACACCAUCUGAUCACCUGUGCAGGUAGAAUUAGAAAAAUUAUGUGCACCGCCAAAAAGAAAAAAAAAGGUAUCUGGAAUGUCCUAAAAAGGAACCUAAAUUUACCUGGAAAGAAGAAACCAUGCUGCCGUUUCUGUGCCCACGAGAACCUGAAUAAAUACACCCAAAAUGAAUCAGCAACAGUACAUGCUUCACGUGGAGCAGAUACAUUCUCAAUCAAAUUUACAAAGCAGUAGGGCACUAGUAGAUCAAAUCUACAGGAUAUCUAAGCCUUGCUACUUUUGAAACAUAAAUUUAGCAGCAGGUGUAGUAGUCAAAUUCAAAAUACACCUCAGCCUUCCUAUUUUUAAGCUUCAAGCACAUUUCAUUUAACUAUAGGCAACGAUCUGUAUUGACAGUUUAUUUCAACUUGGAACUCAACAAAUUUCUUUAAAGAAGCUACAGAAACAAAUUGUACUCACACAAUACCAGCUCCUGCUGGAGCAACUGCCUUGAAAAACGACAUUCCUGUCAUGGACAAUCCAUUUGCAGCUCCUCUUUGGUCCUGAGGCUGUUAACAAGUAUUGGCAUCAGUCAGUUGCAGAUUAGGAGCAGAACUUUAACAAUAAAAAUUGAGCUGAACACAUGUGUGCAUACCACAGCAUUAUUUUGAAGGAUGAAAGUGCCCGUAAUGAUGGUAACCUGAUAUAGUAUGCCGUAAACUUUAAUUAUAACAGAAAAUAAAUAAUACAUAAAAUCUAAAUAUUCAAUAGAAAAAGGGCGUAGACCGCUAAGUGGUGGGUAACGAUGCAAGAUUCAUAUGCUUAAUAUUUUUCAACCAUCACCAGGAACUAAAGUUUUUUCUUUUCUUUUUUUUUCUAUUUUCUGAGCAGAGUAACUGCAUACUUUGUAAAUGUAUCAAAACUGCCAUAUACACAGUUAUUUGGUUCUAAAAGAUCAAAUAACAUGACUCACAAUGGGAUGCAAAAGAUACUCACAGCAAGAUUAUUUUUUAUCACUGAUGCAACAUUGAGAACGAUUGAUAAUCCAGGUUCUGACAGGUAUGUCAUAUAGGGGUAGGCAAAGAGGAUAGGUAUGCACAGGAUCUGCAAGAUUGAGCAAAAUAGUUCAGAUAAGCAGCCAGAAGAGGAGAGAGACUGCAUCAACUAUAAGUAGCAUAAGCUUUUACUCACAGCUGCAAUCCGAGAAGAAUUGAUAGGCCCAAGAACUUUAUUGAUACGAGGGUACAGGAACAGUUGAUAUACAAGAAGACUGGCACCUGUAAUGGAAGAGGUAAAAUAAUGUAAAUGGCAUUAUCACAAAUACUAAAAGUUGGUUGCAAAUACCAGCAGAGGACAAAAUUUGCAGAUUUAGUACAGCUUCAGGGGAAUGAUCGAGAAAUCAUUUUUUCCACAUACGUGUGAAAGGUUUAUAAUUGGGUACAUACAGUUAUCUAAUUAAUAUUCUGUAGUACAAAAACCACUUUAGACUAUAAUGGAGUUUUUAAAAAUUAUAAACACUAACAAUAAUAAGAAAUUCACCUGUAACUGCAAGCACUUGACCUACAUCCUCGGACGAUAAGCUGAGUCCACCAUACUUCUUGUCACUUUCAGCCCAUAGAGAGAACACCUGGAAUUAGUUUUUGUUAGGGCUCUAAUACAUGCUGAAGUGUCUUCUAGACUAUCCAGGGGGAAAAAACUAGGUCCUCAAGGCAAUAGCAAGACACAUCAUACAUAAUUUCAGAUCAUUUUCAAAUAAACAUGGAAAUACAAAGUUAUAUGUUGGUACAAAUUCAUAUAUGUAACCAAGGAUAAACAAUUGAUAUUCACAGCAAUAAAAACCACCCUUAGACUGACAGGGAUAGAUUGCUUGAAAACAUCCACUAUAUUUUAAUAGCUAACUAACCUACAUCAAUUUACAGAUCAUGUAACAAUAAAAGUCGUGUUCCAAAACAACUAUGCCACUUUUCUCCAUAUAUUUUGAAAUCUCCAGUUUCUGGCAGCUUUAUUGGGUGCCAACUUUUUUUCUGACUUAAAUUUUAAUCCCAGAAUGAAUACACCAUAUUGAACAUUAUUAGGACACCAAGACCAAGUUCUUCAAAUCUCUAACAGAGCAGUACUAGGUAUGUUCAUAGCAUGCAUAGAUUCUUCCUAGCUUUUCAAAUCAUAAAUAAAUAUCCCACAAGUGGUAAUAAACAAGUACCUCUGUGUAAGCCAUGUCAUGGAAGGAGAAGAUGCAAUAGAUAACUAUUGAUGACAUCAAUGGCCAAUUCUUGAAUAAGCUCUUCUUGGUAUUCAAACUUCCACUUUCUUCAACCUUUUCUUUUGGAUCAAUCAGAUGAGCCUCCAAAGCUUCAAUGCUCUGGUUUUCAUUUUCACUACCUUUAUGCUUGUGCAAAGUCUCCUAUAAAACAUUUUGAGAUGCUUUAUGGUGGGUACAGAGGAAUCAAAAUUAAGUACAAAAUAUUGGUGGAUGCCAAAUGAAUUCAAAGCGAUUUCACAUACCGGCAUCCAUAUGCAGCUUAUGAGAACAGCAGCAGCAAAGACUGACGUGCAUAAGCAUGGUAAGAAAUACGGGAACCUGACAAGUUUCCACAGAAAGUAAGUACUCUGUAAAUUGAUUAUUUGGGACUAUCUUCUUCUGCUAUGAAAAAAAGAAAUACCUUCCAAAGAGUGAUUCAGGUGAAAAGACAUUUGGAAAAUUUUCUGCAGGCUGUCAUAAGGAAGCCAGGUUAGCGCUGACAGUUAGAUAUGCUUUAAUAUUGUAAAAUUGCCUCUGCUGUACCAGUGCAAGGUAGCCUCCUAGAGCAGGACCAAUGAUGAGACCUAUUCCCCAUGCUGUGCUGACCUAAAUUACGUGAAAGUGAAUUCAAGUAUGAAAAUCAUUAGAAUAUAUAAGAAAUAUUAGUAACACAUCAAUGUGAAUCUUGUAUCUUACAAGUGAUAAUGCUAGAGCUUCAUGUUCUGGUCGGCAAACUUCAAUGGCAUAAGCCUGUAACAUUCAAGCAAGAUGUUAUUAACUACAGCGCAUUCUAACAUUUAAAAGCUUGCAAAUUCACAAUACCUUAAUUGGUCCAAGUAGACCAUUUAAAGCACCAAGCAAAAAUCGUGUAGCAAUUGCCAUCCAAUAGGUGACACUAAGCCCAAACAAAGUAUUGAACACAACCCUGAGAAAUUUUAAAAGAACUAAGUUAAGAGUCUCAUUUCCACGCUCAAUCAACAUUCUUCCAUAUAAAUGGAGGCAAAAUGUUACUAACACGGAGAAAAUGCCGAAUAUAACAACUGGUUUUCUCCCAAUACGGUCUGCCGCUAUUCCCCAAGCUGUUGAAGUCAAGCAUCUACCAAACAUAAAUGAAGCACCUGAAAGCAUCCAUGGUAUGUAACUGAUCAGUCACAAAAAAAUCACCAUUUAUAAAUAUUGAACUAAGCCAAGCUGAAUAUGAGGGAGAAAUUCAUCAAAACUAACCUACGAAACCAGCAUAGAAGCCGAUAUCUUCUGUUCUUUUAGCAACAUUCAAGUCUCUUAUCUGUACAGUAAGAGACAACAUGAACCCUCUUUAGGUAAAGGUACUUACUAGAUGCAUGUGUGCACAGGUAUAGACAAAAAAAAGGUCCUUAGGCAGAUCAAGGUAUCCAAAAAACAUAAUUGAUGUACUACCAACUUAUUUGUCAUAUACUGCAAAGCCCUGAAUAACCAGAAAAAGAUUACCAAAUUGUGUACAUACCAUAAAAUACAAGAAGGGGAACAGCGAUGAUAUUGGUAAAGCUGAAAAAAGAAAGAAGAAAAAUUAGAAACAGUAAAUAUGCAAUGGACGGUAUUUAUGGAAAUAAAGAAAAGACACGAGAAGUGAAGCAAGAUUAGCAACAUUGGGAAACAAAUGCCAGUAAUGUUCUGUAGGUCCAGAAGUGCGGACGCGGACAUUUAUCAAGUUAGUUCAGUAAUAGUGAGAGUGACUAAGAAACUGCUGAAUAAGACCUGAGAGAAGUGCUCAUGCACUCGGAGAAAUCAACCUUAAAUAAAGACAGCAUAUGAUUGCGCAUGAUUAAAGAUUGUGACAUGAUGAACAGUAUAAGUACAGAGUUUUAACUGUUAAGUCCUAAAUGCCACCUAAUUUAAGUGGUCCUGCAACUUGUCACAAAUUAAUAUUCCAUCGGAAGUUGCGUGGUAUCUCUGUCAGUACAUCUUCAAAAUGUGAGGAGGUGAUAUAGCAGAGGUAGGGAGACACUGCAACAACUGCAAACAACCCAUAAUUACAGGACAAAAAAAUUGGUAGCACCUGCAGCCUCACAGCAGGAAAUUUUUGUAAAAUUUCUGCAAUGAGUCAAUGACACAGUAGCAAAGAAUUGCUGCAGCAAACUCAUGUAGUUGCAGUACAUUUCUCUGUCUUGGCAAUGGCAACCACAAGCACUAGUUAUGACCUGCUAGCUAUUGUAACAUGUCAUUGUCAAGAGAGAAGUCAUCCGGAAGGACCCGAAAAGAGGGUGUGCUAUGGAAGAGGAGUCCGUACCGGCCGUGAGAGAAAUCAUCCAGACAUAGAGGAACUCCUUGUACGGCAUCCCCCUGAGGAGGUCCUUCCUCCGGUCGUAAGCGCAGCCUGGGCACCCCGGGUGGUACUCCUCCUUGACCCUGAGCAACGGCGAAGUGGCUUCCUCCCCCAUUGUCGGCAACCAGCGAAUUCCUUGCUGACCCGGCUCCCUCAAUGCUUGCUCAGAACAGCACCAGAGAUGGGAGCAGGGAGCGCGCAAUUAAUGGCGCCUCUGCUCUCGGCCAGAAGAAGCGAAUCAAGGAAGGCAAAGGCCAAUCCUUCCAGCGCUGGCAGGUGGCCACCGAAGUCGCCAAAGAUGUGUCCUUUCGCCCUGCCGUGCCCAAUGCUGGGGGCAAUUAGUAUUGCCCAAUGCGAGAGCCGUUCGUCUAUGGCGGCGUUCCCAUCUUGGGGAAUUGAAGGGGAGGACGAGGAAGACGAAGCCAACACUAGUUGCACCUCGUCCGGCUCACAUUGGACGUGGCGCCAAACGGAACUGCUUCCAAUCCAAUCCAACCACGCGUUGCAGGGCAUUGGCAUCGCUUCACGGGCGCCGGAACCCCAAAAAAAAAAAACAGAGAGAGAGAGAGAGAGAGAGAGAGAGAGAGAGAGAGAGAGACGAAUGGAUGGCUGCCCUGCCCCCUCUCCUCUGCCUGGAUGGGAACGGAGGAAGGAUUGCGUAAUUGCGUCGCAGAAGAAGAGGAAGAUUCGCGGAGGUUCCUAUUGUGUGGAUAGAAUGGGCCUCAGCAGGCCUAUUAUUUAACUGCUGGUAUAUGGGCUGGGCCAAGAGAAGUAGGAGUCGGGCCUAUGCUCAUUUUUCUAUUUCCCCAUGGAUGGAUGGCUGCUUAAUCAUCAUCAUCAUUUAUGCCUCCUGUGCCUAUUUUAUUUGAUCAGUACACGCCUCUCUGUAUUUCGUCUUGACGAAAACGUAAUUUCGCAGCGCUGAAGGCUUUUACACAAAUGGCUGAUCGCUAAAGUGAUGCAGUGAUGGCAACAGCAGCUACGGUGUUGGAGUUGGCAACUCUCGUCAUGAUCAUAGCAAAAGAAAAGGAAAAAAAAACACAAAAGAACUAGCCACAAGAAAAGGAAAAAAAAACGCAAAAGCAUUUACUAGCAAGCAGGGGGAUCCGAUAUGGUCGAGGCCGGAGACACAGACACAGAGGUAUGGAGCAGCCAGUACGUACCUGUGCAGAGGGUGACGAUCCAGACAUAGAUGAAGCUCCCGUAGGGGAUGCCCGGGUUGGCCGCCUUGCGACGGUCCACGGCGCACCCGGGGCACCCUUCCACGUACAUCCUGCCGCCGGCGGUCUUCGUCUCCAGCAACGGCGACGACUGCCCCUCGUCCUCCAUUGUUUGGCUCCUGGAGAUGGAUGCCGAUCGAUAUUCGAUGUGCUCCCUAGCUUCUCUCCUCCCUCCGGAUCCUCUCUGUCUCUUGUACUAGUGGCGAUAGAUCGAUGGGAUGCCCGACCCCCAGCAAUGAUUCCCUCAGAGGAACGAAUGGCUGAGAUGGGCGGGUACAGUGUCUGACCUCUGCACAUGCAUUUCCUUUUUUUUUUCUGGGCCGGAUGGAAACGAAAGAGAUCGAUGGACAGCAGAACUGAAGGGGCGCGUGCUUUUAAUUUGGUGGCUUCCGUUCCGCGGUGGUCAAGCAGCUAGCUACUCCGAAUGGAAGUGCCUACGCUGAUUCGAUCCGAGCUAGAAAGCCAAAUCGAAUUGCCUAUUGCUACUAGCCAAUCCAAUCGAUCGGCCAGUAUAUAUGCUGGCCUGGCAUCAGCACAUGCGUCAGAGAGUGCCACUGCACACCUCAGCAGCCAGUUUGUCGCGAGCUACUCCAUCCGUCCCAGAUUACUGUGUAGCUUUUUGUUACGUAAUUAGAUACAUGCCGUGUUUAGAAAAGUUACGACGAAUAGUAAUUUGGAAUGGAGGGAGUACUACGUGUAUGGUCACCAUAGAUCCUCUCCUAAUAUUCGUUGCUCCCUCUGUUCCAAAAUGUAGAUUGUUUUAGUUUUUCUGAUCUCAUAGAUUUUGAUAUGUAUCUAGGUGGUAUAUCUAGAUACAUGGCAAUAUCUAUAAAUCUAGAAAAGUUAAAAUGAUCUAUAAUUUGGAAUGGAGGAAGUAUUAUAGCUGCUUCCUCAUCGAUAAUUGAUCGAGUCCGCGGAAAAAAAGUUAAAAAAAAGGACUUGCAUGCCUCCUGACCGUGAAUUAAUUAACUUCUCCACAUGGUUAUUUGUUUUGAGCAGUCCGUGAACUAGUAGUCAUAUCAAUAGCAAAGGGCCAAGCUCGCCCCUGACCAAACAUUGACGUCCACGCCGAUUUGAUUUGAUUCACGAAAUAAAAGUGACAGUGAUAGAUGUCUUUGACGUCUUCUUCAUGUAACAUACUCAUUCAGAUGUCACUCACUUUGUGUUGAAGGUGAUGAAGCUAAUAAGCUUGCAUUAGUUGGCACUUGGUUACAUCAAAUGCCCAAAUCCAAGUAUAUUUCCAUCCUAGGUUAAUGAUAUUCAUGUGAUUUCUUUAACUUGGUAUUGCACAUUUGAUCUAGUAAAUGUCCUCCUGUUUAAUUGUCGUCUAUUCUCUAGCUUUUGCAAGUCGGAUACUCAUUUAUUAUAUAUAGCCACACUGCCACACAACAUCAUUAACUACACGCAAAGUGAUUCCUUAACUAGUAGAAAAUCAUUGCAAUAUUUUUCAUAUACUAGAUUUACAUCUUAGAGAUACACAGCAUGUACAAAAGAACAUUCAAAGCUGAUAGAACCCCAAAACGAAGUUGUUCUAGCAAAACUGUUGAUAGUAUAUAGAAAUGGCACCUUUAGAUGGUGUAAAAAUGACACCUUUAGAAAAUUUUAGCAAUGGCGUAUCAUGGUAAAAAUAACACACAACUUGUCUACGCCAUUAGCCAGAAGGGUUAGCUCGAAGAAGAUUGCUUUGGCACAUCUAGAAAUGGCUUGAAUGUCCAAAUAAGUUCAAAAAGUACGACAAUGUCCAGAAGGAAGAACACCAUUUGAUCACCUGCAUACCAAACCAAGUAAUGCAUUGAAACGAUCAAACAAAUACAAAAGCUAACAAUUGAUGGUUUUCAUCAUAGUUCCAUAUUAUGGCAAGUUAUUGAGAGCUAUAUAUCCACUAAUUGUAGUAUCCCUGGAUGGGUGUGAACAACAUUAGCUACGAAGUCUGGGGAAAAAUACUUCUUGUUGUCGGAUGCAUUGAUGUGAAGGUAAUAGAUGCCACAAGUGUUAGUUGCUUAACACAUCAACCUUUUUUUUUUGCUAUCCGUGUGGUAGAGAAACACAACCAAAAUGGCCAUGUUCCCAAUAGAAAAGGUUAACAAACAAUUCCCUAUGCCCACUCACACGACCCCACCGAAGAAGCUAAGUCCAGCCGAAGUGAACUGGUGAUGCCAAAAUGAAAGCAUGCAUGACUUCGCAGAACUCACACAUCAACCUUUGCUAGUAAGCAUCAACCUUUACGCCCAUUGUCUCUAACCUACAUCAUGGUUUCGCAAAACAUUGAGCAAAGGGUAUGUGCCACCUAGAAAUUUUUUGUUUUCAAAAUUCUAGUUCAUUUUUUUCUCAAAGUGCAAUCUAAAAUAUAGUAUUUAACAAUUUAUUUUAGAAUAGAAUCUAACAUAUUUACCUGGAAAUAUCAAAGCAUGUUGGUGCUUUUGUGCCCAUGAAAAUCUGCAUUAACAUGUUAAGAUGAUAUAUCAUCAGAAUCAUUAGCAUUUAUCAAUUCAACCAUUGUUGAAAUGAAUUAAGAAACACUCAAAGCUAACAUCCUAUAUUUAUGGGGUAACAAAAAUGUUGUCUCUAGCACGUGUGUAUCACAUGCUAUAGCAAAUUAUAAUAAACAUAUGAUAUAUGAUUCUACAUAAACCUACUCAAUUAAUAUAUUUCUUCUAUAACUACGGAGACUAAUAUUCCAUUAUUAUUUUACUUUAGAACACUAAAUACUCAUGAUUUAAAAGUGCUAUAGGAUAAGUAAUGUACACUAUUCCUAGUUACUCCUAAACAAAUUGAAGAAACCAGCUGUAAAUCAAAUAUAAUCUAUAAUACACAUAUAUUAUUUUAUGGAACUCAUACCAUCAUUUUUUUUAUCCCAUUUGCAUUGCAAUUCAAGGCAAAGUUGGAUUUAUAUAAACUAUUUGUUAAAACAAAGUGGCUCUUGAAAGGAAUAUAUAACAAGAUGGUAUUUCCAAAAUAUUAAAGUGUUUAUAAGCAAAUUCUAGUGACCAAAUUUGUACUUACACAACACCAGCUCCAGCUGGAGCAAAUGCCUUAAAAAGGGACAUCAAUGUAGUUGCUAUGCCAUUUGCAGUUGCUCUUUGAUCUUGAGGCUGUUAAUUACACAAAAUCAUCUAUUUUUUGUAUAGGAAGAUUGAUUCGAUUGAAAUAGAGUGUAAAUGUACAUACCACAGAAUUAUUCUGAAGAAUGAAGGAGCAUGUUACAACGGUAGCCUAAUAUGUAUGAAAAAAAUGGACAAUAUUAUUAUGAUAUGGACAGGAACAUAUUAAUUAACAUAUAACCCCAAUUAUACUUGUAUUGUGAGGAACAUAACAUGUGGGCCUCUUAAACAAGUGUUCCUAUCAAUUUCUAGAAAAGAGACAUAAUUAGAUGUUUGUGGUUAGUGCGUAGCAUACAAAAUAUUUUUAAAAUAAGUCAUUUAUUUUGGAGAAAUUGUAAGCUUGUAGUAUACACAUUUAGUUUGUUUUCCUAAUUCCUACCAAUAAGUGUUGCUUUUAUUGUUUUCCUAAUUCCUACCAAUAAGUGUUUCAAAAGCAUGCACACAUAUAACUUCAAGUUUCAAGGGUACUCACAACCGAACAACUUUUAAGCACCGAUGCAAUAUUUACAACAAUGGAUAUCCAUGGUCUUGACAAGUUCGCCAUAGGUGGAUAGGUGAAAAGAAGCACCAUGGAUAGAAUCUACAAUAUUAAUUGGUCAUUAUAUUUUAAAGAUUAAAGUAUUUAAACUAGCAAUAAAAUGUGACAAUAACUUGUAUACUCACAAUUGCAAUACGAGAAGAAUUGAUUAGUCCGAGAACUUUUACAAUAUAGGGAUAAAUAAAUGUUUGGUAUAGAAGGAUGCUAGCACCUACAACACAUAAAGAAGUAAGUUCAUUUUAUAAUAGGAAUAAGAAAAAAUGAGGUUAAAGCAAGGUUUCCAAUAAAGGUGGUUGCUAAUAACUAGAGGCAAUGUACAUUUUUCAUAGCAAGUUCAUGAAUUUAUUCCAUCCUAAACAAUACAUUUGGGAAGAUCAUGAAUUCAACGUGUUUAGCUAACAUAAUGCAUAUAUAAAAGGAGCUUACUAGGCGUCCGCUACCUCUCUCUAUCAAAGAAAAUCUCUAGCGAGAUGCUAUAUGCUAGAGCACAAAACAUGAAUAUGAAGCCAAUUUUAGCCCUUUUUUUAGUCAUAGAUGAUUGGAAUAGGAACAAAGUUGAUAGGUUCAUUUCUUGGACUCGAAAGUUGGUACCUGUCACCAAAAGUACAUUACCAACAUCUUCAGAUGAGAAACUUAGUCCACCAUACUUUUUGUCACUCUCAGACCAUAAAGAAAAUAUCUGAUUUGUCAUUUGAGAUAUCAAGGGUUAACUCAAAUAUAGAAGGUAAUACUUUGAACAAAAAGGUAAACUAAGUGAUCAUAUAAAUUACAAAUAGUUGGAUUUUUUCAUAAUUUAUUUUUCACCACACAUUCAAAGAAAACAUCUGAGUGAAAUGAUAAAAUGCAACCACGCUAAGCAAAAAUAUUGAAUUGUAUCAAUAGAAAAAUAUGGAGACUCAAGUUCGCUGGUAAAGUUAUAUUCCAUUGACUUAAUCACAUAAAUAACAAUGAUUGAUGAUAGUUCAAAAAAAUAAGAACCAUAAAUAAUGGACAUAUUUUUUUGCACUUAACUUAAUACUAUAGGGAUUUUUUUCAAAUUUAAUUUUUUUACAUAGCCCAAGUACAUGUUGAUUUAGUUGGAAAAAUUAAAAUUAAAGAUUUCUUGGUAGGAUGUAGUAUCCAACAUGCAACUGAAAUUUGGUAGCUAUGAGUAUAACGUAUUUCUUGGUUAUUCUAGAUUUAUUGAAACAAUCUCAACUUGUAUGAAAUUUUUUACUCCAUAUCAUCUUCUCUAAUGGUGAGGUCCAACCAAUAAAUUGCAACAAGAGAUAAAAUUUUAACAAGAUCAUUAUGUGUUUCUAAAGUAUUAUUUUUACCAAUUAUUUUUUUUCAAAGGCAUAUUUGAUUAGGAUAGAUAAGUGUUUAGAUGAUGCAUGUUGAUUCUUACUAUAUAUAUUUAAUCUUUUCAAUAAGUUAGAAUGAUUAAAUUACAAAUUUCCCAAUUCCAUUUUGCCCUUUGGUAACACAAUUUGGGGUUCUUGUUAACAUCUAUUUUGACGUAUAAAGAACUAAACAUUCAACUUCAAGAGAACAAAAAAUCCAUGUUACAAUUUUUUUUGUUAUAAAAUUUGAAUUUAUAUGGGAUAUAAAAUUAAUUAAUGUUAUCAUCAUACAAACAACAAUAGUUAAUACCACAACUUGAUAAAAUUUAUUUAUGAAAUUAUGUUCAUGAUUAACCAAUAAGCUACGAUAGUUCAUCUUACAAAUAUAUGAUUCUAAUUAGUCAACCAUGUGCAUUCAAGUUAUAGUAACAAAAUAACCAAAUUAUUGAAAAAUAAUUAGGACAUACCUCUGAAUAAGCCAUAUCAUCAAAGCUUGUGAUACAAAAGAGAAAAAUAGAUGACAUUAGAGGCCAAUUUGUCAAUAGUCCCUUAUUCUUAUUUGAAGUACUAUAUUUCUUAACAAACUCUUCAGAAUCAGAUAAAUACGCAAUCAAAGAUUCAGGAUGUUGAUGCUCCUUUUUGUGGAGCUUGUGUGUAUGCAAUGUUUCCUGAAAAAUAUAGUGCAAACAUUGGUUGUAUUAAACAUAAUUUUUGGCGAAUACAUAUCAUUGAAUAAAACAUAAAAGUGUAGUUAUAAACAAUAGCAAUGAAAUUAAUGAACUUGCUAUAGUAAAUUAAUAGAUAAUUCAUGCAGGAGUGAGACAAAACUCAAAAGUCCAAUAGAUGCCAUGUUUUAUGCUGCAACACCAUAGAUCAUUGGAAACAAUAAUUUAGAAAAUAAGCAUGUUUGUGCUGGUGAUAGAUUUUGUACAAUUAUUUUUUUAAAAUCCCAUGGCAAUGCUUACAUUUUUCAACAAUGUAUGACUGGAGAUUUUUCUUGUCCUAAACUAUUGGUUUUGUACACAUGCAUGCAUCCGGCACUCCGCCUUGUAAAUUUUAACUCACUGCUUGGGGACCAAAGCUACGUUAUAUGUUUGCACUCCGGCAGGGAUCCUUGUAAAUUCAAUGGAAUAUGUCAACUCUCAGACCACCUUGGGUAGCUUAUUUCAAGUUAUUGGACGAUCAUAAUAUAGCUUAUAUAAUCUAGGACCAUAGUUUAUAUAAUUUAGGAGGGAACAAACAUGCUCUUAGACCCCGUUUGGUUCUUUAUGAGCUCGUAAAAUUCCUGUCACAUCAAAUGUUUAGAUACUAAUUAGGAGUAUUAAAUAUAGACUAAUUACAAAACCAAUUGCACAGAUGGAGACUAAUUUGCGAGACGAAUCUAUUAAGCCUAAUUAGUCCAUGAUUUGACAAUGUGGUGCUACAGUAAACAUGUGCUAAUGAUGGAUUAAUUAGGCUUAAUAGAUUCGUAUAUGCAAUUAGCCUACAUUUAUGUAAUUAGUUUUAUAAUUAGCUCACGUUUAGUCCUCCUAAUUAGCAUUCGAAUAUUCGAUGUGACAUGAAUUUCAGUCCGGACUAAAUAUCUAAACACACCUAACUAGUGGCCAGGCUUCCUGCUGACUGCUGAGUGAGGAUGGAACUUGCCGUGUCAGCAUUAAUCGCCAAUAAUGCAUGCAUAUUGCACCGCUCAUGCGUCAGUGAGCCAGUCAGUCAGGGUAUGGUAUGAUCCACAGCACGUCAUGCAUAGCCGCGCCGAUCCUUUAAUUUGUUGCGUGCUGCUGCCCUCCCUCCUCGCCGAUCUGAUUCUGAUCCGAUCCUUUCAGCUGCUUUCCGAUGAUCCUGUGUCCUUUUCAGAGUUGCAAUUGCAAGCAAACAAGGAUUAAUUACAGUAUUAAUUGCCCCGAUCGAUCACCUCCAAUGAUCCUGCCUGCAUUUGAUGAUUCAUUGUGCUUUUUUUUUUACCUCCUUCAUUUUCCUUCUCUUUAUUAAUUUGUUGCUGCUUCUGUCAGCAGGAUCGAUCACAUUGGAGCCAUGGAGACAGCAGAGGCCCAGGUCUUUUCAAACAAGAAGAAGAAUGUGAAAUUGCCAGUGGGUUUAGCCCAGGAGCAGGCCCAGGCCUGCGAUUAAGAGAAAAGGCCACUCAUCUGCUGCUGUUUCCUUUCAAGCGGGCCUUCAAUGUCAAGCCCACCCAAGCUGACGACGUCGCCGCCCCCCGCCGCCUCAAUGCCUGGGUCUACGAGAGGUUAACCUAUAAAUGGAGGCGGAUAUCGUCAUACAGAGGAUGCUGUAAACAGCUACUCCUAAAAGAAAAGUAGAAAACUUAACGUUAAUGAAUGAAUAUUGUGGAGGAACGUUUGUAAGCUACAGCCUAGCUACAUUAUAGAUUCUACAAGAGGCAUUCACUUUAUGGACAGUGGAACAUUGCAACUUACACAAUUACUAGAGUAGUCGGCACUCCUAAAAUCUGCAAUGAUCUACUACAGAAGUAGCACAUGAAGAGAUCAGUUCUGGACUCCUAACAUAUAACCACAUGAUAUAAUCAUAGAAAAGCUUCUUCUUUCUUGCUUAUUCGUCAUCAAGUUCAGAAAAGAAAAUGUAUCAGUGUUGUUACAGUAUAUGAAUGUCUGAAAAGUUCAAUUGUGUUUCACUGGAAAAUUUUGCACAUGUUUACAAAUAUCAACUAGAUAUCUUCGUGAGAAUUCAUGAGUAUUGCGUUUGAUUGUCGAGCAAUUUCAGAAGAUUUCACGUAGCAAAUUGCCAAAAAAAAAAAACGGUACUUCCCUACAGCCAGCUCUGGUUCAAGCUUUUUGCAGUGCAGUUUCUUGAAGAUCAUAGAAGCAUACUGAAGAUUUGUGCAAGUCUUAUUCACAGCUUAAGUUUCUGAAUACUGAAGGUACUAACAAUGCAAUCUGGCAUACUGCAUGUCAAUGAUCAGACCUUGUUCUCAAAGCUGUGACAGGUAAUAACAAUAAUCAAUUGAGAUUCAGAAUAAAAAAAUGACGGAAGCAUGAAAAAUUAAAAUUUCAUCAUUGUAGCAUGUUUAUUUUACAGCUUAAUGAAGAACAAACAUUUUGUUUCUUUGAUAUCUUGCUGUUGCUGUUUUAAAUUUAACCUGCAAGCAAAGCAGGAGCCUUAGACGUUGUCAAUACAACAUCGCAGAGCUCAGAGGCUCGUACAAAAGCGAAACAUCAAACUCCUCUGGACUUGUACGUGUUGACAAGUUUAGAUCUAUGUAUUUAGAAUUAAAAGUGCCACGUAUAAGAAUGCCAAGAGUAUAUUUUCUUUCAGUUCCAAAAGCAGAUCAUCUUUCCAGUUUACAAUGACUGAUUAGGUAGGAUACUUUCGCAAAAACAUUGGAGCUCUCCCAUUUAUAUAGGAAUUCCUAUAAAGUACAAUCUCUACCGAAUCAAACACAAACUGAUUAACUACCCUAACAAACUUUAACCUUCCUUGAAAAACGGGAGACCCCAAACGAUAUCCUUUGCACAAUGGCAGACUACUGUUGACCACCGGCAGACGAGCAGUCCCCCGUCGUCGUCGUGCCGGAGCAUUGUUGUUGCUCCGAUGGUGCCUGCACCUGCGGACUGAUGUCAAUGCCAAAGAGACGCACCACUCUAACACCUCCAGCCGGCGCAGGCGACGACGGCGGCGCCUCCUCCGCCUUGAUCGACAGCGCGAGCGACAGGCCUGGUGGCGUUGGCGCCGCCGCCGCCGCAAUGUCUUCCUCGGGCUGCAGCGCCAGCGCGAGACACCUCUUCUUGUUCUUCCUGGUGGGCACGAUCGGCGGGCCGGUGUAGUGCACCCUCAUGUGGCCGCCGAGCGCGACCCCCGUGGCGAACACCUUGUGGCACUUGCGGCACUCGUGCGGCGCCUCCUCCCUGCGGGAGCGGCGGAGGGCCGCGAGGAAAGCGGCGGCGUCCACGCCCGCGGGCAUCAUCCCGGCGGCCGCGGCCGCCGCCUCGGCCUCCCUCUGCCUGCUCCUGUGGCCCGCCGCGUGGCCGCCCAGGGCCUGGUUCGUCGUGAACGUCCUGCCGCACUCCUUGCAGGUGUACACCCGCCGUGGUGGUUGAUGAUCGGCGCGCUGGGGGACGACGAGUUGGGGUAGCUGCGCUGCCGCUUCCGGUGGCGGCGCUGCAACCGGAUGGUGGAGGUGGACUAGUUGAGCUUGCUCCGCAAAGGGCGGAGGCGGCGGCGCAGGCAUGUUGUGGACGACGACGGCCUGCGCGCUGCUGCUGCUGCUGUCGCCGGACACGUUGGAGUGGUUGCUCGAUUGAGGAUUAUUCAGAGGUGCAGCCGCCGCCGGUUUGCCCCCUGCCCAGCCCCGCUUGCCGGUGGCGGCCCAGCUCCCAUCGAGCGCGACGACGACGCGCUUGCGCUUCGGCUCCAUCCUGAAGACGGACGCGGGGCUGGGGACGCCGUCGGCGCUGAUGGUCCCGUCCGAUUCGCAGGAGGAAGCGGGCGUGGGGGACGGCAGGGCGUCGCCUCGGCCCAGAGCCAGGACGUCUCCCAUGCUGAGGUGGCGGGGGCGGCGGGCGUGCUGCGGCGGAGGGGCAGGAGCAGGGGCCUGGUAGUCGUCGGUGUCGGAGGAGGAUUGGUAGGCGGCGGGGACGAAUUGGCCCUCCUCUAGGUCAUCAUCAUCGGCGAGGCGGCGGGGAGGGAGGGAGGAGGAGCCGUCGGCCAUGUCGGCGCGGUGGGGGAUUGGGCCGGAGUAGGCCGGGCGGAGUUGUGAACUUGACUAGCAGCUAGGGUUUAGAGCGCGAAGUAGGAGGAGGCUGUGGUGCUUGGUUGUGGGCGGGGAAGAACGGCGGCGGCAGUGGGCUGGCUUAUAUUGCGGCGGCAAAGUAGGGUUUGGCUGGCUAGCGUGGGGACGUCGGAGAUUGCGCGGCAAGCAAGCAGGUCAUCGAGUGGGGUGCGGACUCCAACUCCGAUCCACCCACCCACAAACACGCAAGUAACCGACUAGUACUGCAGGAUUCACUUGAUCUAUCUGCAUCCGAACAUGGUAACUGAAAAUCGCCAUCAAUCUGUUACGCGGCCGAUCUGAAACGGAGUACGCGGAGGAUCGACAGCUAGCUGUACGUGCUUGAGUGGCAAUAAUCCAACGGAUUGAGGUGAGCACGAUACACGUACGGCAGGCAAUCAGACACUUUCUAAUCUUUAUCCCUAGCUAGUGUGACCGGCCUAUAAGCAAGGAAAGAGAUUAAGACUUGCGUUUGUAUUCCAAUUUUUUGAUUGUUUAAUUUUGUAGGCCACGUAAAAUCGUAAAUGAUUAGUUUCAACGAUGGAGGUUUAGCCGUUGGUUGUUGCCAUAAUUGAGGAUAUCGGCUAUCGGCAGUGUAUGAACGGAGAAAGCGAAUCAUGCAACAUUCGUGUGCCCUGUCACUAAUCAGCUAGGGGUUGUUUAUCAAAUACACCCAGGUGUGGAGGGGCUCUUAGCAUUCGAUUUUUUUCUCCGUCGGAUCUGAAGUGGAUGUCUGAGAUGAAAUCCUCCAUCCCUUACCUUCUUCCCACAUGACCCUUAUCCAUUCAUGGUGCACGCGAGGAAAGGCCCGAGCCCCCACCACCUCCACCUCCGCCGCCGCCGCCGCCCCUCACCUCCCACCCUAGGCCCCCCCCCCCCCCCACACACACACAAAAAAAAACUAACCCCUUUUAACGUUGCUCCUUCCCGGUGUCUUCUUCACCAAGUCUGCUCGAUCUCCCCCCACGGCCACCGGCUGCCCGCUCGACUCCGGCGGCAAAAUGCCACCUCCACCACUGCCGUCGACCACGACCGAUGCUAAUCUGUUAGUCUUACGUCUCCGCCGCCUCCAUUGCCCAGGGGUCUUCCAUCACCCGGUUUCGGUGACGCCCUCACCGCCUCCGCUCCCAUGUGUCUCUCCCGCCUCCACUGUCAGCCGGCGAGCCACCCCGAAUCUUCCUUUAGGUCCGUAGGCACAUGUAGUCCCCCAACACUAACCCCCAACCCUGAAACUCUAAAGCUUGCCGGAGGAAUCACCUACCAUUGCCGGAGGAGGAAGAAGAAGCGAUGCAUGCGUCGAUUGGUUGAAAAUUCUGAGUGCUGGAGCCCUCAGCUAUUCAGCUCGCAAUCGCAUCCCAGCAAUAUCGCAUAGGAAAUGGGACGAGGAUCUUGGUCUUGGUGCCAGCAGUGACCGGAUCGCACGGCGACCGGCGUGGACUGGCCCAAAGUCCCACCCACCACCAAAUGGAUCCUGUAAUGUGGGCUCGGCCCAUUUCCUUGCUUGUCCAGGCCCACCCAUCCUAUCGAUGACGUCACCACUCACAGCGACACAGGAGGACGACGUCGCCCUCGGCGCCCGCGCCCGCUUACCCCGCCGGCCGUAUACUCUACUCUAGGGAGCCUCCGCCGCCGGCAGCGGGACAAGUGAUUGGCUGGGCAAUGAUAUGGAGGAGGAGACCGGGGUGCGGCGGUGGCUCGUCGACAUCACGCGGUGGCGCCCCUCCCCCGCCCAGUUCGAUGCCGCAGCCGCCCUCCUUCCCUCGCACGAGCGGCCCGCCAUCGCCAGGUAACUCAACAGCUGCUCCCAUGUACUCGCACCACCUCCCGAUCGCCGGCGCUGCCGAGGGAGGCGCUUUCAUCUCCCCGUGGGAGACACACCUGUGGGCUGUGUGGGUGAGGGAAGCGCCGCGGACUUGGAGCUGGUGGCAUGAGAUAGAUGGACGGGAGCGCGGGAUGCACGGCGGCAAGGUCAGCGGUGGCCGACGGGCGGCAUCGCUGCGCUGUCGGUCGCCGGAUGCCAUGUCCGCCGCCCCCGAAUUUGGCCCCUGAGUUUUACCUAUACCCCCUAAUUUGGAUCGCGAUUAUUAGUCGAAUAUUUGCAAAUAGACCACUUAAGUUUACAAAUACCCCCUAAAUUGGAUCGCGAUUAUUGAUCGCGAUCCGAAUAUUUGCAACAGGCCCCUGCUAUGGUUUGGAUCGGCGCUUCCGGCUGCGAUAUGUCCGCCGCCGGCCUCCGCCGCCCCCGGUCAGAAUCGUUAAGCUCCGACCCAAAUCAAGUCAAGGGCAAACAAUUCGCUCCAUUAUUCAGUGGCAGGGGCGCUCGAUUCAUCAACAUCCGCGGUGAUCCGAGCAAGCAGCCGUGAGCUUGACUUCACCGGUUGGUUUUGGUUCCACGGCAACGGCUUCUUAAUGCUCUUUGUUCACCUUUGCAACUGUGUUUCCGCCAAUUUAGCUAGCAUGCACGUUGCGGUUACCUUAGAACAAGAUGGCAUCAAGUCGACCUCCUCCAUGCCCCUGCAGGUUUGUGAAAGAAGAUGACAGGAAGCGGGCGCUCGUCAGUCGUCUGCUGCAGUACUCGCUUGUGCACCACGUUCUCCGCAUUCCGUUUCACCAGAUCAACAUAUGCCGCACACCAGAGGGAAAACCGUACCUGGUACUUGUACACACACACACACACACACACACUCUGUCCAAUUAUCAUUCCUACAAUCAUCAUCGUUCGCUGUCAGCUACAUCCAAUAAGCAGCAAACCUUUCUGUCUGAGUGCCUGGUCGGUUGCAUUCUGUCACUGAUCACUCCUAUAUUGAUUUGUCUUGCAGCAGAAAAAUUGUUCAAACUUUCCAAACUUCAAUUUCAACAUCUCGCAUCAGGGAGACUACGUUGGCAUAGCAUCUGAGCCUCUUUGCCUCGUUGGCCUGGACAUUGUAUCCAUUUCCAAGCCCCAGGGAGAAACUACUACCGAGUUUAUCAGCAACUUCUCUUCAUACCUCACAGAUCAUGAGUGGAACUGUAUUGUUCGUGCUGGCACACCCAGUGAAGUGCUAACAGAGUUCUACAGGUAUAGCAUUUCAUUCAGGGAUUUCUUGGUAGAUGGCAUAUACAUUCAGAAUCAGCAUUUUAGAGCUAAAACUUAUAUUGGUGGAUGCAGCAAGCCAUCAAUGCACAUGGACUGUCUAUAAUGAAGUAUCCUUUGCCUAAAUUUCUUCAUAACUACCAGAAAAUUUUCUUAACCUUUGAAAUCGGUUGAGCUGGAUGUGCCUUGAAAUUUUGAUUUAGCAUAAUAAAUCUGCGGUUUUGCCAAUAAAGUGGGACUCUCGCACAGCUCCUCUUUCAGUUAGCUCGAGUGCUGAACUACAUCAGAAAAGUUGAAGGGAAUAUUUUUUUAUCUUUAGAACAGAGUAGGUCUCUCUUUUUUUUGAGAAAAAACAGAGUAGGUCUCUGUUUACAUAAUCAUGUACCUCAGAACCUAUGCUUUCAGUGCUAAGCAUGAAGCAGUUCUGGUUUUUCGUUAAGAUUAUUAAGUCGCAAUCAUGACAGUGUGAUCGUACAAAAAUCAUGCCAAUGUUAAUGAUGGUGUCACUGUUACUUCAAAUUCAGUACGACAUCACUCUGUUCUUCAAUAGGUACUGGUGUCUCAAAGAAGCUUUUGUAAAAGCCAUAGGUGCUGGAGUCGGAUUUGGGUUGCAUAGACUGGAAUUCCACCAUGAACACUGGACUGAUAUUUCUAUCCAUAUUGAUGGAGAAGUGUCUAGAAAAUGGAGAUUCUGGCUUUCCGAGCUUGAUGAAGUGCAUUUGGUAUGUAUGGAUCCUUACUACCAUCUACUUCACAUACACAGGAACCUAGUCCUACUGUUCUAGCAGUAUAUUUAAGUACAGAUACCGUCCAUCCAGUUCUAGUCUUGUGGCUGCUUAUAUGCUAACCAUCAACUAAUGGAGAUUGCAGGCAUCUAUAGCAAAAGGGCAUCCAGAGGAUGCUGUAAGCAGCUAUAAGAAAACAUUGUCCAAUGCAACCGUUGUGGAGGAACAAUUACAUUCUACACUAGAGAGUCCAGAUGGAGCUUUCACUUUGUGGACAGUGGAACAACUUACACAAUCACUGGGUAACAGCCUUACAGGUAUCAAGCAUUCUUGAAAUCUACUACAGCAGGACCAAAGGAAGAGAUGUGUGAAUAUGUUCCCAGAAUUCUAGACUCCUGAUAAUCUACUACACAGCCACAGCCACAUGGAAAGGCUUGGUUUUACCUCUGUAUUGCUUCUGUUACAGAAAGGGGUUCUUUUGGCCUUCUGUUUACCAUAACAGAACAUGACAUCAGGAGCACAAAGGUCUUCGCAAUGGCUGCAACGCCUUUAUCGUUCUAUCCUGCAUUCUUGCAGACAUGUAGUGUCAUGGGGCUAAUAAGCAUUGACGUGCCCUGCAUUGAGAAAAGAGGCAUUACUCUUGUAAUUGAGAUUUGAAAGAGAUGAAGAUAAGUGAAAGAGGAGGUUUUAGGAUGAAAUCAAUCUGCCAAUGAAGAGCAGGGGUGUGUGAGGCUAUGAGAGGCACAUGUAGAAUUGCAGGCACGCUUCGUUUUGUAGCAGCAGAAACAUCUAUUUGACUCCUAGCUCUGAUGCUUGCAAAUACUCGAAGCUGUGUUGCUGACACCUACAGUUUGGAACUGCAGUUGAUCAGUUUUGCCAGAAACAGCAAGCAGCCUAUAUCUGUCGCGAGACACCCCAACAAGGUAGGAAGGAAGGAUACCUCUCUUCCUUCCCGGCAUUCCCUCCCUACCCUCCAAACUCCAAAACAAUUUUUUGUUCCGAACUGCAAAAUUUCCCAAACUAAGCAAAAACAAUUUUCUCUCUCUGCCUCGGUCUCCAUCUCUCGUCGUCCAGGCCCGUUCAUGUCUGUGGCUGCCUGCCCUCCGCCGGAGCAGGCAGCACGCGUCCCCCGCAGCCAUGGGCCAAUGCUGCUCCAAGGGCGCCGGGAAGGCCGACGCGGACGCGGACGCGGACGCACCACCAAAGGCGGCGGAGGCGCCGAGCCGCGGCGCGUCGGCGAACCACGGCGGCCACGGACGGCCGUCGUCGUCCGCGAAGCCGGGCUCGCCCACGGCCGCCGCCGGCAGGGUGAGCACGAGCAGCAGCAAGCCGGCGGGGCCCGUGGGCCCGGUGCUGGGGCGGCCCAUGGAGGACGUUCGCACGACGUACUCGAUGGGGAAGGAGCUCGGGCGCGGGCAGUUCGGGGUGACGCACCUGUGCACGCACCGCGCGACGGGGGAGAAGCUGGCGUGCAAGACGAUCGCGAAGCGGAAGCUGGCGAGCAAGGAGGACGUGGACGACGUGCGGCGCGAGGUCCAGAUCAUGCACCACCUCUCCGGCCAGCCCAACGUCGUCGGCCUCCGCGGCGCCUACGAGGACAAGCACAACGUCCACCUCGUCAUGGAGCUCUGCGCCGGCGGCGAGCUCUUCGACCGGAUCAUCGCCAGGGGCCAGUACACGGAGCGCGCCGCCGCGUCGCUGCUGCGCACCAUCGUGGAGAUCGUGCACAGCUGCCACUCCAUGGGGGUGAUGCACCGGGACAUCAAGCCCGAGAACUUCCUGCUGCUCAGCAAGGACGAGGACGCGCCGCUCAAGGCCACCGACUUCGGCCUCUCCGUCUUCUACAAGGAAGGCGAGGUGCUCAGGGACAUCGUCGGCAGCGCCUACUACAUCGCGCCCGAGGUGCUCAAGAGGAGGUACGGCCCGGAGGCAGACAUCUGGAGCGUCGGCGUCAUGCUCUACAUCUUCCUCGCCGGCGUGCCCCCGUUCUGGGCAGAGAAUGAGAAUGGCAUCUUCACCGCCAUCCUGCGCGGGCAGCUUGACCUCGCCAGCGAGCCAUGGCCGCAUAUCUCGUCGGGAGCCAAGGACCUCGUCAAGAAGAUGCUCAACAUCAACCCCAAGGACCGGCUCACGGCGUUCCAGGUCCUCAGUAAGUAAUGCUGACAUCAUUCGUAGUAGCAAGUAGCAGCACAUAUGGAUGUCAAUGUGGCAUUGACCCGACAAAUUGACAACUUGUAGACCACCCAUGGAUCAAGGAAGAUGGAGAUGCACCUGACACGCCACUUGACAAUGUUGUGCUCAACAGGCUCAAGCAGUUCAGGGCCAUGAACCAGUUCAAGAAAGCAGCACUGAGGGUACAUAUAUCUUAUAACAACUUCACAUAUCAAACUGCUGAAGAACAAUGCUUACAAGGAAAAUUUAAAUUAUGCACUGAACCUAAAUGUAGAUCAUAGCUGGGUGCCUGUCCGAGGAGGAGAUCACUGGGCUGAAGGAGAUGUUCAAGAAUAUCGACAAAGAUAACAGCGGGACCAUUACGCUUGAUGAGCUCAAAAAUGGGUUGGCCAAGCAUGGAACCAAGCUGACAGACAGUGAAAUUCAGCAACUGAUGGAAGCAGUAAGUUUUCACUUUUCAGAUUACAAUUUUUUUUAUAAAAAAAACUGUCGUUCUAUUCACGGUUAGAACUUAGAAGGUUCAUAUGGAAAGAUCCCCUUUUGAUUCCUUUUAUAUAAUUCCAGGCUGAUGCUGAUGGCAACGGGUUAAUUGACUAUGACGAGUUCGUCACCGCAACAGUACACAUGAACAAACUGGAUAGAGAGGAGCACCUUUACACAGCAUUCCAGUAUUUCGACAAGGAUAACAGUGGGUGGGUUAAACGUUGAAACCAACACAGCUGAGACACCUGACUUCAGGACUACAGAUAUUAUAGAACACAUAUACUUCAUUUGUCUUGCAGGUACAUUACAAAAGAAGAGCUUGAGCAAGCCUUGAAGGAGCAAGGGUUGUAUGACGCUGAGAAAAUCAAGGAGGUCAUCUCAGAUGCCGACUCUGACAAUGUAAGGAACAAAUAUUAUGUAAAUUUAGUUGGUAUAAUAAACAAUAGAAACUACAGCAUCAUCAGUGUUACAAAGGGGGGACUAUACAGAAAUAGAAUCCAGUAGAUCAAAUGAUUAAAUUGUCAUGAUUAAUUGUUCCUCUACUGAUUGUAUAUGUUUUUAGUUAAGACUAAGAUUUAUUUUUGCGCAUGCAGGAUGGAAGGAUAGAUUAUUCAGAGUUUGUGGCGAUGAUGAGGAAAGGGACAGCUGGUGCUGAGCCAAUGACCAACAAGAAGAGGAGAAAUGUAGUCCUAUAGUGAAGCAGAAAGUGUGUAAUAUGUAUAGCAGCUCAAACAACCAAAUUUGCAGAACUGUACACAAACGAUUCAGUUCAUGGAUGGUUGUGCAAUAUGAUGGCGAUUCAGCAUGUGCACAUUUCAGAAGACUACUCAUGGCAUCUAUCAUUCUCAUUUGUUCUUGCAGAAAAACAGAUGAUAUGUUUGAGGGAACAUCAUCCAACAAGACCUACUGAUACAGAAAAACUUCAAUAGUUCAAUGCAACUUUCUUCACACAAAUUGCAAACUGAACAAAUGAUAAGGGUAACCAUAUGACAGAAGCCACAAUGAUGUCAGUUUAUCAAUUAAAAAAUGAGGAUAUUUGCGUGGUCCAAAACAGACCUCAAAUAAUAACAAGAUACAAUGGGCCAAUCGGGGAACCUUUCUCUACGUAAAAGAAAUGGCGAUUGCAAUGAGCACUUGCACAGACUGUACACGGAAUUGGGAGAAUGGCCUAUAUGCUAACAAGGAAGAUAUUAUAGUUUAAUUAUUUCACAGAACGUGUUUCUUGCAUGUGGCAGCAUGAAUAAAAAUACGAAAUAGAGGAAUUAGGAAGUUUGUUCUUACCAAGGAGAAUUCAGCUAGUGGUUUCUAGAGAACCCUUCACUUGCAGAGCUUCACGUUCCCUUUGGCGACGUUCUCUCUAUCAAGUUGGACAUAAAGUUACAUGAUAUACAUGGAUAAAAAAACUGGAACUUGAUUUAGUGUAUCAGUGUUACCAUGUUAGACUUUGUAUAACUUCUCAUAAAUGCGUAUAUCAAAUCAAGAAAAGAACACAUGGAUAAAAAAAAGUUCUCCACCCAAAGGCAUUAUUCUGAUACAAUAUUGCAAGAACUCCUGAAAUAUAAUCCUUAAAAUCUAUGGAGCUAAAAUUUCACAGCAACGUGCAGACUGUAGUUACUGUCAUUUUUACCCCAUCCAAGCGUUUCUACAAAAAACAGUCUCUGCACAAAUAUGCAGCAGGAAACAGGGCACCCAAAACACAAAUCCAUUUAAAAGAACACGCACGUUAUUGGCUUGCAAUUAAGAACCGCGAGGUGAUGCAGUCCUGAUCAAUGGAAAAACCCAGCAACCCGCGUCUCCCUGGCCACAUAGGCAUUUCUGCAAACAGCCGACGCGCACACUCCAAACAACAGCGAUCAGCGAGUGCUUGCAAUUAAAGGCGCGGCAGCCAGCAUUGCUCAGCCAGAGUGUCAAUAUUGCUGCUAGAGCAGUGGUAAAGGAGGAGGAUUAAAGGCUAAAUCCCUGACCUCUGCGAUCGGAAGGGCCCAAGAAAGGUGGAGGAGGACAAGUAGUGUACGGCAGUACCCUUCGUUCCCAGUAGGGGUGGAAGCAGACGAAGUCAUAGACGGGGGAGAUGGUGUUGACGAGCACGAGGUUGACGCCCAUGAAGACGAGCAGCCCCGUCAUCGGCCGCGCUCGGUGCGGCAUCUCGCUCUCUCCCCUCGCCCCUUUCCCGCCGGCGCCUUCCUCGGCCGAGACCAGGCGAGAGACGACUCCUCAACGAGCGGUGAAACACCUCAAGGACCAGAGCGAGGCGAGAAGGGCGGCUGCGUCGGAUGUUUAGCGAGAUCAAGGAGACCGGCGGCGGCUUGAGCAGGGCGGCGGCGCGGCCGGUCUGGGGCUCUGGGCACACCCGGCGCACGGCGAACUCGCGAAGCGAGAAGAUCGGUGGUUAGGAUCGAUCUCUGCCGCACAGUUCUGAUCCAACGGCUACACGUGUCCCGCCUAAGGGUGGAAGAGGUUGGCAAACUUUGCAAGUAAGAGCAACUCCAAGAGGUUGCUAAUCUUACCCCCGAUACUUUUUUAAGGGAAAAAAGAGAAAAAACGAACUCCAACAGUCUACCCAAACCUUCCCUAAUUUUUUAGCAACGCUAAAAAACAGCCUACCACCGCGUAUAUUUUAGCGUUGGCAUUCCUUCCCCAAUUUUGAUUCCCGCACGCUCGCGCGUCCCUUCCGAUGAGCCCAAUACGAUGACGUGGCCUGUUUUAAAUAUUGGGGGCUAUUUAUUAGCGAUCUGCUAUGGAUUGAUAUGUUUUUGGGGAAAUUUUUUUUGGAAGAACCCCAAAUACAUAGUUUUAGGGAAGAAUUUUUUGGAGUACUCUUGGAGUUGCUCUAAGCCCCUCGUUUCGUUUGGGGCUGACAGUUGUGUUUGCAUAAAGGCCCUUGCUAGCCAGGGUCGCGGGUCGCCACCUUGGCAGUGGGCACCUUGCCAGUAGCGGUGUUCCAAAUUUCCGUAAAUUUUAGCAAAAUUCGUGUUGAAAUUCGUCUUUUUUCCUGGUGAGCGAAAUUGGUUAAUUUCGGUUACAAAUUUCAAAAAAGAUGAGUCAGUGUGUCAUUAUAUAGGCUAUAGAAUUUAAGUGCCAAUAGGCAAAUGUUGAUGGACCAACAUAAUUCUCGUCUGGGCUCUCAUGCACAACUCUACAAGGCCCAAUACAAUGUGAGGCCCGGCCUGACCUACAUGAGUGGUGGUUGAUCCCGUACGACGAAGAAUGCGGCCGCCGCCGGCCGCCCUGCGUCGACGUCAUGGCUCGUGGGUGCCAAAUCAAACCCAACCAAAAAGCUUUAGCUUUCCCUUUGCUCGAGGGAGACGGAGAUGGCGCCCAAGAGGAAGCCUCAUGGCGACGGCGUGGGGGAAUCACCAGAUGAUGAGUUCGUAGCAAAGCCGUCGGACGACACGAAGGAAUCGUCAGCCGAGUUCGCCAGGCCGGUUUACCUUGUGGCAGCGCGCGGCCUACUCCGUCCUGGAGAUCGACGCCGCUGCCGCUGCCGCUGCCGGUGGCGACGAGCCGCCGCGCAUCCGCACCGUUGCCGCGCUGCCCCUGGCCGAGCCUGGCAUAUCUUUCGUCGCCGCGCAUUCGGAGCACGGCUCCUGGAUCGUCGGCGUCGGCGGUGGGCUAAGAGCGGGCACCAUCAUCUUCGACCCGAGGACAAUGAAGACGUUCCACGGCCCGCGGCUCGGGUACCCCAAGCACGAGCCCGUCCUGAUCUCGCACGGCGGCGAGGUAUACGCCAUCUCACACCGCCCCCGGGUGGUGCCCCGCAUCGACUGCGAGCCAUGGUUCGAAUGCCUCAGCUUCAACAAGGGUGUGCCCUCCACAGACUGCGGCCUUUGGAUCUCCUGGAGCCACCUGCCACCACCACCCUUCUUCCUCGCUUCCUGAACCCCUAUGAAUUUCGCAGUCCACCCGAAAUUUCAGUCUCAUCCUAUGCCGUCGUGGGCUCCUACAUCUUGAUUUCCCCGCAACCAGAGCUAGUGGUCGGAACUCACGCUUUUCAUGUGGUGAACAAGACGUGGGAGAAGAUCCACGACGAGAACCUGCCUUUUGUUGGCCAGGCUGUGCCCGUCGGCGGCAGCCUCUUCGCCGCCGGCCUCGUAUCCAACCAGGCUAUCACUGGCUCUGCCUCCCUGUUCCACAUGUCCAUCGAUGAUGUCUCCUCGUGGACCUCUGAUGCGGUGGUGAGCACUCCCUCAUUAUCAAUCCAAGAGUUGAAAAUGGUGGCAUCAGAGGACAAGAUUCCAUGGCCAUUCUUCUGCCCACUGGGAAAGGGCAGCUUCUGUUUGAUCAGGUUAGUGUCCUCUUGUCGCCGGCACAGACACAAAGCCAACUACUUGAAAAAGCGGCUCCGGGUUAGCUUGACUACUUUAACGGAUCGAGAACACUGAGGCUAUCAUGGCUCACUGUCAGUCCCAAGGCGCCAAGGCUAAGGACCUACUAGUUGGAGAACAAGUCAAGGAACAGAGUUAUACAUGCAAAUCCAAAGGCCUAUUUGGCAUGGCUGUGGUUGCUGCCCUCUCCAUGUAAGCAUAUGAGGAGUGUCCCUCUCUUUUACUUCUUUAGGCUAUAGCUAUCCAUUUUAAUUUCUUCUGCUGCUACUGGAUUAAAUCUUCUACAUAUUUGUUCCAGCAAUUGAACUGAAAUUAAAACUGAACUACAGAUAUCAUGGAACACAUAGCUUCAUUUAUCUGGCAGGUACAUUAGAAGAGAAGGGCUUAAGCAAGCCUAACGAGGUGUAUGAGGCCAAUAAAAUCAAAUAGAUAUGCUGAUUCUGACAAUGUAAGGAACAAAUAUUAUGUAAAUUUAGUUGAUAUAUUAAACCACAACAUUAGUAGUGUUACGAAAUAAAAUCCAGCUGAACAAAUCAGUAAAUUGCCAUGGUUAAUUGUUCCUCGUAUUGAUUGCGUAUGUUUCUAGUUUCUUAAAUUAAGAGGUUAAAAUUUACUUUGCACAUGUAGGAUGGAAGGAGGGAUUAUUCCAGUGGCGAUGAUGAGGAAAGGGACAGCUGGUGCUGACUGAUGAGCCAAUGAACAACAAGAAGAGGCGAGAGGUAGUCCUAUAGUGAAGCAGUAAGCGUGUAAUGUGUACAGCACUCAAACAAGCAAAAUUUGCACAACUUUACACAAGUGCAAUGGAGUUAUUUAUAGAUGGUUGUAUGUGUACAAUUGUGCUAUUGAUUGAAGGGGAUUUGAAUGCAAUACUUACAAAUAAGAAAGACAUGGACCAGUUCAUGGUGCAUGCUAGUAACUCCAGAAACACAUAAUAAAUUAGGCUUUAUUUUUUCAAGUAAAAUCAUGUAUGGAUGUGGGAGGGCAGAAGAGAGUUGCUGGCGAGUGGUGACCCAUGUUUGCAGUUAGGCUCCAAUGUAAAAAUACAUGUUUCCAUGCCUAAGGGAAAAAGUCUUAAUAAGCUAAUAAAGUAGGAAAUGUGCCAAGGCCAACAACAAUAAUCCAGUACAAGGAAAACAUCUUAUGGAAUUAACAAACUUUGAGAAACGAACAAGCAAGCAUGUGUAAAUCGCAACAUUAUUUUCAUUUACAUGGAUAAAAGAGUGAAGUCAAUGGGAGAGAAGCCAUGGGAAGAACUGCAAAUCUUGAAGGCCUGCUCCCUCUUGCUGGAGAUCACAACCUCCGGCUUCACGGCUGCGUGAGUUUCUCCCUCGGGAGUCUCCAGGAGGAGUGAAAGGUUCUCUGUUCGGUAGGUUGUCAAGUUUACAUGCGCCUUCCGUGGAAGCCAUUCCUCGUGCUCGGCAUGAAAGCUCAAGCUAGGCCUGCUGCCAUCGAGCGACAAACUCAGAAGCGUCCAUUGUCCAAGGAAGCGAAGCAUGACCCUCCUACAACUGCAACUUCAUGGCCCUCGUAUUUCACCGGGAGCACAGUGAUGGAUAACUUGAGAGCGUUGUUCUUGCCAGAGGCAGCGACGCGAAUGUGGUAGCCAUUGAUGGGGCCAUUGUUCUUAGAUGCGGCGAGGAAGAUGGAGCCGUGCUGGGUGGCACGGCCGACGAAGGGCAGCCUGUCGUCGUCAACCUUGUGCCACUCGUGUGAGUCGGUGUCAGAUGCGUGCGUGCCCCAUGCCUGGUUGAAGAACGAUACCAGUAUGUAGGCGCCGACCACCGCGUAGGACACGAGGAUCACAACAGGCAGCAUGGUGGAGCCAAUCGGGGUGAGCUUCCAAGGGAAGCAAGGUGGAUGCGGCAGCUGAGCCCAGGAACACCCCUCCAGGUGGCGGCGGCCGGCGACGGAGACGACGACUCUGGCCUGGGAGAGGUCGAGGACCUCGAACCACGGCGGGAAGUCGGGGUCCGAGAUCCAGGAGGGGGCAUGGGACAGGGCGUAGACCCUGUCCCCCACGGCCGCCAGCGCAGGGCACGGCCUGGCGGAGCUGAGGCUCGGCCUGCGUCGUGGUGUCGAAGAUGACGGUGUCGCCGGGAUCACCGCCGGCGCCGACCACGCCGGGGAAGGAAGCGGUAUGAAUUGGAGUCGCUUUAUUGUUGCAAGUCAAAUAAUUGUAUUAACGCACGACGGGGAUGGAAGUUUCAGUCAAAGCCCGAGAGGCAACGCAAUACAACUUCAUAUACCGUUAUUAAAAACAGAUUUUGAUACAUAUAGCAAUGAACUUAUCAUUGGCCAUCAGUAUUUGUACUUUGACUGGUAGCAAUAUCACGAGCAUUGCAAUUGUUGCUUGCUACCAUGUGUUCCAUGUUAGCACGGAAAAUUGUGCAUCUCUACGUGUUGCAGUAACAGACAACGUGCUCAUGGGCCAUGGCUCAUAAAUGAUACCCACUAACAUAAUCUCCUUUCAUGCUAUCUUACCGUACAAGAAGGCAAUCUCAUGCUCUAAGUUGACUCUUCUAACUCUUCUCCAAAUCGAUCCAGCCUUGACACCUCUGCAUCAUAAUCACGGAUUAGAGUAUGGUUAACAGAGCCAUCAUCUUCACUCGCAUGGAUUUGCCGCCCGCCAAACCUGCAAUGUGAAAAAAUGAAUAAAUUUUAUAGCGACAGAUCAAUCCAGGAGCACAAAUGGUACUUGCUCAGCAUUCUUUUAUAUAAUCAUAGAGUCAGUUGUAUUUUGAAUCAGAUGGCAAAAUUUUCCACAACGUUUCAGACCCAAAUCAACGAGGAAAUGAUAUAUUAAAGGUUUUGUGAGGGAAACAAACAUGAGAUGCAACCCAAAAUUCCAUCAGAUUCAGCUAAUAUCACCACACCAUCACUUCAUCAGAAACAAAGGAGAAAGGAAUGAUUUGGGUUGACUUACCAUCUGCCAUUCAUCUUCUCUAUGCACUUGGCGCCAUCUUUCCGGUCUUUGAAUUUCACCAACAUGACACCCUGUGGAUGAUUUUCACAAACCUGCAUGCAGAAACAUGUAAAAUUAACAACAGUGGUUUGGUGGAAACCAGAGAAGGAUGCAAGAGGCACAAUUUGGUGAGUUGCGGCUGAUCCAUGCCAAUCUGACUUCUUUUUGGAUGAUUUAUUGGUAUCUCAUUAUUAUAUUGAAACGAUCAAAAGUUCGUUUUGCAACAAAAUUGGUAACAUCUGUUUUCCAGACAAGUCAGAAAAGCUCCAUGUCUGAGGGUAGGUGUACCUUGACAUUAUCCACUGGACCAAACUUGACGCAUUCCUCUCUAACAUCUGCCUCAAGCUCAGUAAGAAGUUCUUCAUCAGCCUGCAAGGUCAGGAUAUUCUUGGUUAAUCCAAGAUAAACGAGAAAAAAAAAGUUGCUAUGCAGCAUGCACCUCAUGAGCAAAAUCUAAAAUGAUCUAAUGUGCAACCAAGUACAAGUAAGCCCAGUCCCAGAUCAAAAGCGCACAUAUUGCAGAAGGCAUCAAGAUACUUCAGCUACUUACUCUCAACUCAGCCGGAGUGAACAUGUGCCGCAAAAUAACGGUAGUAGGAAUCAUCACCUUCUUAUCAUCAUGUCCACCUAGUUAGAGGAAAUUAUGAAGAAAAAAAUGAGGUUAGAUCCCAAGUUUGAAUCAGCUAUGAUUAAAAUAACUACCCAAAAACAACGAUCAAGAUUACCCCAUCCAAGCAUUUUGUCUUCAACCUUUUUGGUCUUCCUUUUCUUUUGUUUAUCAGUUUUCUUUGCAAUGAAAACAUCACCUGAAACACAAGUAACAGCAUCAGUGAUAAGUUUUGUAGCUGAUGGCACACAGAAGGUAUUUGGUUUUUCUUAUAGAACCAUGAAACAAUACCUUUCUGCUGAAAUUCGGCCGGACUUAGAGACAUCAGAGUCUUGCCACCAGGACGGAAUGAUGUCCUAUCCAACAACUGAACUGCUAAAGCUACAGAAGGCUCCUGUAUCAUGGAAAGGGAAAAGCACAUGAAAAAGAAAUGCAUAGUGAUUCCAAAUAUCUGAGCAGCUUAACAAGGGGAUACCUUGAGAUAUGUCACCAAGGCAUCUCCCUUUUUCCUCCCAGUUUCCUUAUCAGUAUAGAUCUUCACCCGGGGCUUUUUAGUCUCAGGGUCCUGUAAUAUCGAUUAUCAACAACACGUGUCCAAUGCUUUAAAGUUUAAGAAAGAAAUGUAAAUGCCACAUCACAGCCAUAUCCUUCAAAAACAUAAUAUUAAUAAGAGAAACAAAAAUAGUUAUUCAAGUAAAGUAAAUGUCAAAUAAAUCUUGUAGUAUUUUUUCAGUCUUAAGGCGCCCACAGCGUUUCAUAUAUUAACAUUAUAUCCACCUAUAACUUAUGGGCAUUGUGCCAAUAUCUAGUAUCAUAAUGCAUGCUGCAAGUUUGGACAACUGAAAUUAGCUAAUUGCUCAAUUUGAUAGUGAAAUAUAUAACCAAUGAGUUGAACAGUUUGCAAAAAUGAACAGACUUGACAUGAAGAAUUGAAGGUCCCAAGAUUCAGAUAAGUCAAACUACAAAGUUUUUGCCAAUUAGUUACAUUCUCAGAUGGCAAUUAGUUACAUUCUCAGAUGGCAACUACAUACUAGUCACUAGUCCAAAUACUGGCAAAACCAAGUUUCUUCACAAGAGAGAAAAAUCAAAACAUCACCAAGAGUGAAUAACACAAACGCAACAGUUUUGUCUUUGCAACACAGCAGAUUAAAAGCAUACCUCCUUUAUUAUUCCACACUUGGAAAAUACCUCCACGAUCUGCAAAAGAAAUCCAGCAUCAGAAGUUCAGAACAAGCGUUUCAAGAAUAACCAACUGAUUAAGAAUGUGUUAAAUGGUCGUUCAACAAAAUGAUCUCCUAGAGAAAUGAAAUGUGGUUACAGAAUUAGUUCAUACAAGUAAUUUACCUCCUCCAGUGUGACAUCAUCAGGCAGUCCAUUUACAUAGACAUGUGUGUUGACUUUGAGAUCAAACCAACUGUCUGGAGGUUUGUUAGCUUCCUACCACAGAAGUCCAACAGAUAAGUACAAGACUAGAUGCGACCAAACUUACCAAGAACUCCUACAAUGACUUGGAAACAAUACCUUCUUUUCAGCUGUUUUCUCAGAAGAUUUCCGUUUCUUGUCCCCUCUCUUUUCCACUUUGUCUAAUUCUUUGUUCUUGUUUUCAUCCAGUGUGUUGACUUCUUCUACUGCAGAAGUACCAGGGAUAUCUGGCGCCUGAAAUACUUCUUCCUCAAGUGCAAAAGUCAUCUCUUCAACAGCAUAAUCUUCCUCUUUACCUGAUGUGUCAUUCUACAAAGGCGUAACAAAAACUAUAAAAAAAAUAAAGCUAGCAAAGAAUAUUAAAAAGGUGAGGGGAAAGUUGUUGUGCUCGAAGGAUUCACAGCUGAAUGUGAUAUCUAUAAAAUAAUCUUUAUGUAUACAGGAUAAUUAUUGCUAACAUAAAGCGAUAAGAGAAACUAAAGGAUACUGAGUGAACUAUGAUUUAUACAGGUAUUUGCUGGAACAUAGAUAUUUAACCCUUCAAAUAAAACUUAAAGACAAUGCAAAAACUAUUUAAGAAACUACUGUCCUAAGCAAGCUAGCAAAGCAAGAAGGGCUGUGGUGAGGGGCAAGAAACUGAUAAGGAAGUAAGCUAUAGAUUAAAGAAUCAUUAAUUAGAUUUUCAAUUUCUCUAAAGUUGCUAAUGUGAAAUAUAAGAUUUUUGUUUAGGAACUUGGCUUCGGUACUAAAGGUUACCAGGCCUGCUGUUUCACAAACAUAGAUUGAAAUCUUGCACCAGCAAAAGUAGCUAAAGAAAAAUAUAAACGAUGAUCAACUGAAAGUAAAAAUCAACACGAUGCACAGAUUAAUUAAACAUCUCCUGAACCUUGAGUGAGAAGAAAAAUGAUGCUCCAAGCAUUAACUGCCAAGCUAAUACAAUCUUCAAGAAACAAAUAGUCUACUAAGGUAUGGCUGGAACUUUCCGUCGGUCGGUCCUUUGUUACUGUGUAAUUACAUAUAAACUAACCCAAUGAUCUAACACAAUGAGUUUUCAUCAUAUGCCGAUUUGCAAUCUUUCAUAAAGAAAGUACAGGACAUCUAAGGCUAACUAAGGAGACUAUCAUGUACUUCAACUGUGAAAAGACAAAAAAAAUUAACCAAUACAACUAGGCAGUGUAUAUAAACCUAGCAAUUGCAAGGUUAGAUGAGAAAUACUUACUUGAGGAACCCAUGCCCUCAGAGUACGGUCCCAUUUGUAAAUGGUGCCAUCAUCAUCAGUAAACUCCUCCUCUCCAUCCGGUGGGGUUGCUGGCCGCUCAUCAUCCAGCUGGUUCACAUCACCAUCUUCAGCACUGCCUUUUAAGGCUGAAACCUCUGCCUCGGCUUCUAUAACCUCCUUCUGAAAUUUCUCAAAAUCAUCUUCAGCAUCUGGAGCAACUGCACACAAAUUCAAUGAAUGAGAGAAGAGAACCUUACAUAAUUUCCAUUUCAAGGUGCAGUACAAGACAACAACAUAUUAACCUUGUUCGGAUUGAUCCUUUGCUGUGACUGCAGUGUGUAACUCAGGGAUUGACGAGAGCAGCAUCCAUUCAGUCCUCCCUUCUGCCCAGAGCAUUGUGCUCUCAUUGAGAUAACCAUUUGCAAAAUGUUCUGCAAAGGGAACAUUUUUUGUUACAUUUUCAAUAUUAGCUGGGCGGGCGAAUAUGAAGCAAAAUCCUUCAAAUUCAAAAGCGUGGAAGCGAAACCUUCCCCACGAGAUCAUCUACACGUUGAUUAAACUUCAGGAAAUGAGAAUUAAAUAAGCUUGAAGCUAGCUUCAGCAACGAGACGAUCAAACAAUUCCGCCUCAUGGACUAAACCCUAAGCCCAACCGCACAGAGAAAACUCUGAAGUUAAAAUGCACUAAAUUGCAAGGAGGAAGCGGGAUAUGGUCACCUCGAAGCUCGGCAAGCGCGUAGGGGCCGACACUCUCCUGGUUCGGGCCGAGCACGUACCAGCCCACCUCGCCGGCGGCGGCUGAGCCGCUGGUCUCCAUGGGCAUCGAAUCCGGAAGAGAAGAGAAGGGGAGGAUGAAGCGGGCGGAUAAUGGGGGGACCUAAUGGAUGGGUGCCGGCGGCGGGGAAGGAAGGCGGAGGCGACUGGCAGGAGAGGCGCGGGCGGCGGGAGGGGCGGAGUGGUCAAGCGGAAGGACGGCGAGUCGGAGAAGACUCGAGAAUGGAGUCACAGAGAAGAAUCCAUCUGGACGGGUGAGAUAGCCCGUACACACGCGAUCGAACGGUAGUGGACAGGUUUCCCGUUUCCUUCCCUGGUCCGCUGCUGGACUGAUGUUUGCUAUGGUCCUUUACUAGCUGGACUGAUGUUUGCUCAUGAAAAUAAACUCAUGACCAUAGCAAACAAUGUUCAGAAAAUGAAUCCAAUGAAAACAUUUUUGUACCCAAAAAACUGGAAACUGUUUGAAUCUUCAUAGAUUAGUUGAUCGCAUAUCACAAAAGUUUGAACCUUAAGAUACAUCCGCGCCUUGAAAAAGGAAUGGAAAAAAAAGUCAAAAACAUCCGUGGAGUUUGAAUUCACUGAAAGAUUACAGAUACUGAUGUGCCUUUCUCUGCACAAUAUGAUUCGGUCCAUUUCCAGCCUACAGACGACUGUCUCUCACAGCAAAAUCUGUUGCUACAACAUCAAAUGCGUAAUUUUGUACAAUCUUUGCUGCACACAGCUAUUGCGUCACUAUAUGCAUGUGAAUAUAUUGUACACGAAACCUUAAGCCAAAGCCACCAUCCGCAAGGUGCCAGUAUUGUCACACUCCUCAUUAUCCCUCAAACUUCACCAAUGGUUUGGUCGCUCUGCAGGCCGUUCCCAAUGUCUAGAUGGUGCUGAUAUCAACUUUGCUCUUAACAAUUUGGAAGGCAGGAGUAACCCAGCUGCCACAGUUGCACUGUAUUCCUGACCAGUUAGGAUAGUAUCCUAACCGAGCUCCGCAGUGGAUGCAUGAUAGCUUCCCCUCCAAAGCACCCUCUUUGACUGUUACGUGAACAAAGGCACAGGAGGAAACCAUGUAAGGUAUAGUAGUCUAGUAGAAAACAAAAAAAAGGAGAAACACCAUCACUCUACUAAGACCGGUAACGAAAGCAUGUGCACGAUUGCUCAAUCAUUGAGUAUCUAUGAAGGUUUCAUCUAUAAGAUGACCUAAACAUCAAAUUAUGAAAAUGAAUAUGGAUUCGGUGGGAACCAACCAUAUAGUAUGAAUUUUUCUUUGCACAACACAAAUAGGUAAUUCGUGACUCAUAUGAAUUUCAUACACCAAGAGGAAGGUAAUAACAUCAGCCUACCUGGAGUCAUCCAUUUCAGAGGCUCGAUAAAUAAAGACGAGCAAUCUUGUUCUUUGUUGCUGUAUGAAUGACCACUCUUCCUUCGGUUCCAGUCAAAGCAAGAUUCACCUUCACCAGGAACAUGACUUAUAACAUUGUCCUCCACAGCAAUAAUUCUCCUGCACUUCCUGCAGCGGUAAGCAGUUUUAUGUUGCUCUGUCUUUGAAGGAUCUUGACAAGAGCCAGGUAGUGGAGAAAGGCCAGGGUCAUCUUCAAACAUAUAGCUGCCUAUUUUCUCCCCAAAUUUGUAGGAUUGACCUGUGGGAGGAAAGACAGGUUACAGAAUACAUGUUUGUUCAAAUGAACUGCAAUUAAAAUGUAAUUGUAUUGAAUCAAGAUUAGCUAUUUAAAGAUGCUGAAUAUUCUCACACUAGAUGUAAAGGAACAACAAUGUUCGUGACGCUGAAGCAGAUCUAAGAACUUUUGAAUCACAUGAUAAAACUAAGCAUUUGACAAUUUGACUAUUUUGAGAGGAAAAAAAUGAUGAAACACAUUUUUAUUUAUUCAAGGCACAGCUGCAGAUCCUAACCAUACAGCACUUGAAAUGGAUAUAAGUUGUCAUCACAAGAAAAUUUACCAAUGAAAAAGUAUUCAAACACUCUGGAUCAUGAAUCAGGGAUCUUCUGGCCAUAGUCAUCUUAUACAGUUAUGGAAAAGCAUGCUUUCGAUCUAGAGAUAUAUCAGACCACAAUUGGAUUUUAUAUCAAUAACCAACAAAUUUCUUUUUGGAAGCUUGCAUCUGGCCUAUUGGUCUACUUAAACCACACAUGGCCAAGAACAACUAACCAACACUACUAUUAGUGAGAGUAGUCGACGAGGACCCAGCAAAUAAAGCAUAUAAAAUACCCCAAGAAAACUGGAGAAAAGCCUAUUGACUCAAAUUUAUGUCAGGACAACUAGUAACCACCACUUUAACCAAAAUGGAUCAAGACUAACCUAAUAAUUUUAAGCGGAAUCUCUUGUACAAAGGACUUGAAGUAUCGACUUUGAAGCCCAUUUCUCCAAACAAUUUCAACUGCACGACACAGAAUGUUCAACUAAGCAACAAACACUCCAGGAGUUCAUGUGCUGCCAACAGAUCUUGAACAAAUCUUACCUGUUCAAGAAAACCAUCAUUCGGGCAUGCCAACUCAGAAAUUUCCUUCAAAGAUUCUAAUGCUUCUGGAAGAAAAUAACAAGCAAGGCCACAUGAGUAAAAUUCAACUAGAGUAGAUGAAAAGAUACAUGUUAUCUUUCCAGGAAAAGAGAGUUCAGACCUUCCAGAGGUUUCUGCUCUGAUCUCAUGAGAUAAGCAACAAUGAUGGAAGCACCGCAAUAAGUUUGAAAGUCAGUAUGAAUGCAUAUAUAUUAUAUAAAGAUGAAAAAGGGAGCUGGCAGUAUUAAAAGUGAACAGGCUUGUGCUAAUCAAUUUCCUCGAUCGAAACACUAUAUGGGUAUGUUAAUCCAAAUUUGCAAUUGCAAUUGUCAACCAGCAGCCUGCUGCAAUUGGUUAGUUUCAGAAACAUUUAGUUUUUCCAUGCCGCGCCAACUGGUUAAGUAGGCAGUAACAGUUCGAUUCUUGCUACCGCACCGUAUCCAAUUCCAUUGCUAAACAUGAUAUCCCAAGAUGGUACAGAACUACAGAUCCUAAAAUUACCCACAAAACGAAAACGGAAAUGACAGUGCUUCUGAAGCCUACCUCAUAGAUACCCCGGCAAAGCAAUGGACGAGGACAUUCCCCACCUUCCUGCCAUCAUCGAUGAAGUCAAGGCAGGGCUCGAGGUGGUCGAGCAGGUUCUCCUCCUCCGUAUCCCGUAGCGGCACGGCCAUCCGCGUGACCCGCAGCCCGUCCCCAGCGCGCUCCACCACCCGCAUCAGCGUCCCGGGGGGCACCGCAGCUGUCGGUGGCGCGCCCUCCUCGCCAGCGACGACGCGGCGGACCUCCUCGGUGGGGAUGGCGAGGCCCGGGCGGCAGUCGGUGAUGAAGGAGAUGGAGGCGGAGCUGACGACCGAGAGGACGUGGGUGAAGGUCGGGGUGGAGGAGGAAUCAGUGAGGGCGGCGAUGGCAUCUUUGAUGUCGCCGAAGUAGAGCCGCUCGCGAACGAGGUGCGGCAUGGCGGCGGAGGAGGAAGAGACCGGUGAGAAUCAGUGAAAUCCGGCGAGUGAAUUCAGUACCAAGUCCCUUUUAACUUUGCAGUGUAAAUAUGCCUGCAUGGCAUUGAUCUACACUAUAUUAUAGAAUUUCUUGUGUGUACAAAUUGUUUCUCAUAUUUAUGUAUAGCAACUAGUUGCAAAAUAUUUUUAUUUGUGUGAACGCAUCGUAGCAUUCUAUUCUUUCUAAUACCUCAAACAUUCCAUUUUCAAAGCAACUUCAAAAGCUUUCUUAAAAUUGCUCUAAAAUCUUAUUUUUUAAAAAAUAAGAAAACUUAUCAGCUCCCACAUUCAUGUAAAAAUACGCAGGCGGACGAUGUUGAAAGUACCUCAUGGCCCACGCAUUUAUACGGGGACCGGUCUUUUUCCCAAUCCCGGAAAUUACCGCAGCUCACGGCCACGGGCGGUCGGGCUCACGGAAACCGAGCGAGAAGGAGCGCCUGCAGCGGCUGGAGAUGGCGCACAUCAAGCUGGAGGCGGCGCUCGAGACCUCCGACAGGUGGCGAAUCAGCGACGCGUCGCUGCUCCGGUGGCGCGGGAAGCUCAAGCGCGCCGCCCGGGACUGCGACGACGCGCUGCGCCGGUGCAAGCGGCGCGCCGUGGAGGACGAGGAGAGGCGGCGGCGGGCGGUGCAGGUCUCGUCCUUCCCUGCAAGGCUCGCCCACGCCGCCAGGUCACACCUCGUCGGCGGCCGCAUCAGCAGCUUCAGCGACGACGACGACGGGUACGGCUGGAGCAGCAGCCCCGCCGCCGUCCGGAGGUUCGAGUGGCUCGCGGACGGCGCCUCGGAGUUCCUGAGGUUCGUGGAGCUCGGCGGCACGCCGCGGCCACGGUACACGUUCUUCGACCCUCUCAUCGCGCGCCUGCUCGCCGGCGACGAGCUCCGGUACAGGCUUGUCCGGGGCGGCCCAGUACUACCUCUUCUGCGUCCGCCCCAUAUUCCUGGAAGGUCGCAGGGUAGAGGCGAAGCUCAUCUUCAUCUACGAGGACGACGACGCGCCGGAGAAGAACCUGUGCAUCGGCUCCAUGCUACGGCUCUCGGAGAGCACCGACAUCGUCGGGAUCACCAUCAGGUGCCUGCAGCUGCUGGUCGCGAACCAUCCGACGCAGGACUUCUCCUGGGUUCCCUACGCUGAUUCCACUCACAAGGAGCACUGGAACAGCAUCCACAGAGACAUGAGCCAAUGGUUUCGCCCGGACCCGUUUUGCUGCAACCAUCACCAUGAGCCCUGCAGCAAGCACUGUGAAGGCAGCGCAGGCACAAUGGGAUCCGAAGCUGGAGAGAUGGACGCAUGUCCUCACAAGCUGGGGUGGUCUCUAUUAUCUGCUCUGCUCUCGGAUCGGGGAAGCUCACGGCCACGCUCUGUUUCGGUUUUUCUUCGGCUAGAGGAAGAAAAAGAAAAAUGAGACGGGGAGAGAGCACGGAGGAGUUAGGCUAGAUCCAAUUACGAUGAUAUAGCCUAUUUUGAAAUAUCGGGGGCUAGUUAUUAGCAAUCUGAUGUGGGUUGAUAUAUUUUUGGAGGAAAAUUUUUUAGGAAGAGUCCCAAUACGUAGUUUUGGGAAAGAACUUUUUGGAAAACUCUUGGAGUUGCUCUUGUACGCUUAGAUGGAAAAUUGCACACUUACAUACUGAAGUACAUGAUGGCCCACCUGGGAUUUUUUUUUUAAAAAAAAGGUCAAAUGAACAUUUCUAACCUGUUCCAAAAUGGGCUAAGAAUUUUAACUGUACAUCUAGACAUUUAUUCCACAAGUUGAAGUUGCUCGAGCUAUUUUGUGAUAGCAUACUCCAAUCUUUCAGGAAGUUGAAGUUUAAGGAAACAGUGGCCAACAUAUGGCCAAACUUUGGAACUAACAGCAAGGAGCUAAUAAAGGUACAAAAACUUCCUUGUUUCUGUUAUUUGAUGGGACAUGGCAAGUCUUGGCUAAUAGACUAUCUGUCUAUCUCGUUUGCUCCGUCCUAAUAAAGGUGCAUCAUCUUCUAAAUCAUACAUCCGGUUUGCACAAUGCGCUGGGAGAUGUGGUGAAGAGUGAUUUUUUCCCAUGUUGGUAUGUGACUGGGAAGAGACACUAAACCAGGUUGCCAAGUGCACACCUGAGACCGAACCUGGUUCAGCACAAAUUUACCAUUACCUAUCCUUUGGUUGGUUGUGCGGGGGAGUCAUAGAGGUAUGUUUCUUCCUGCCAUCACGUAAAUCGAGCCUUGUUUUUUUAUGAGAAUUGGACUGUGUUGGUUGUGUAAACAGAUCAUUAUGUACUAAUCUAUAAUCGGGUUAAGGGUUAGCUAAAUUUGAAUGUAAACCCACAUCUACUUAUCCUUUUCGGGUCGAAUAGCUUAAUUAUGGUAGUUUAAUAGUCAAUAUAAUGCUCUAACUGAUUUUUUUCAUGAAUCCUGACGCUGGUAUUUGACAAUAAUAGCAUGCAUCUGGGAAGAAGUUUCAAGAGGUUCUAGAAGAGGCUAUUGUUCGUCCUCUUCACAUUGAAGGGGAGCUAUAUGUUGGCAUUCCACCAGGUAUGUUACAGAUCUCCUAUGAAUCAGUGCUUAGAUUGUUUCCAAGAACUCUACCCAAUUAGAUUUUUUUAACACUGUACCAGAUCUGCUGCUUACUGUUUCGUGAUAAGGAAUGUAGCUUUCCCUUGAUUUUUUUACGUCGUGUGCUUAAGGAGUAAGAAUAAAAGAACCAUCAAUGCCUUGGAUUGGGUGUGUCGGGGUGUGUAUUCAAUGGGGGAAAUACUUUCAGUCAAGCUGUGAGUGCAGGAGAAACUGCACUGCAUUUGUAAUGGCACUGCAUUGGGGGUACUUUAUUUAUAAAAUUUGAUCAAUGGAGUUUUGGACUUAACUGCUACAAUGUUAUCCCUUCAUGCUCCAAGACCAAUAGUCAUUUUCUGCAAGUACCUACUGUUGGUAUGUUUUUGUAUCAUUUAUUUAAUAUUGGAUGCUUAUUUUGGCAAUUUACAUUAAAAAAAGGUAUUAAAUCUUUUUCUUUGUCUUUCAAACUCCAGGAGGGAAUAUUUGCUCUUUUAGAUGUGCCUGCUAAGAUUUGAUUAGACUAAUGAAAAUCGUAAUCUAGUCAUGUUUAUACUCUUCUAGUCUUCUAGAUACCCUCUGUCUGAUGUUCAUUACAUUCUGUCCCUUCUCAGGUGUUGAAUCUCGUCUGGCAACCUUGACAGUUGACACUGAAGAACUUCAGAAGUUAUCAGGAAUCAGGGCAGGGCCAGGUGUUCCACCAGAAUUGCUGAGCAAUAUUGCGCAAAUGGCGUCUGGUGUACCGGUUCUUUUCAACACGUUAAAUGUUCGUCGGGCCAUUAUUCCUGCUCCGAAUGGCCACUGCUCUGCUCGAGCACUUGCUCGAUACUAUGCAGCGCUUGCAACUGGUGGUUCAAUUCCACCACCGCACUCUGCGGACUCCAAGCCACCCCUUGGCAGCCAUGUGCACACCCCCAAGUUCCCUACCGCCCCACUCAAGAAGAAAAAAGGCGCUGGAAAGAAGAAGGGUGUCGGUUCCACAGGAAAUCUCCAAGAUGUGAGCAACACUGACAAGAAUGGGUACAGCCAGCUACGCACCAGUGACGCUAACGACGAAGCAGCGGCAGGAAGCGGCGGCAGGAUCUUCAGCAGUGACAAGAUCCUGGACGCGUUCAUGGGUGUCGGUGAAUACCAGAGCUGGCAAGUUCGGGCUCGGGUUCAGGAGGUACAACAACCGCAGCGGCACGCUGAGGUGCUUUGGGCACUCCGGGAUGGGCGAGUCCACCGGGUUUUGUGACGUGGAGAACAACUUUGCCAUGGCGGUGAUGGUGAACAAGAUGUCCCUGGGAAGUGUCACUCGCGGCAUUGUCCGGUUCAUCUUGGAGGAGCUGGGUCUGCCUGUGCCUGACGAGUUCUCAACAUCAGGGGAGAAGGGACCUGACACGGUGCUUAAUCUUGCACCACCUCAGCAACAGAGAUGACGAUGACGACGAAGCCAGCUGGUUUGACUGUUAACGCUGUAACUGUCGUUGCAAAACUUACCAGUUUGGUAGCUUCUGUUGUGACACAAGACUGAAUAGGAAGCGGGGAAAACUACAGGAUUUUUUCGUGGUAUAUAUUAUACACACGCCAUUUUGAAUUUGAGGUGGAAUGUAAAACUACACGGACUGUUUUAUUCGGCAGAAUCUACAGUGUAAAGAAAGUUUACGUUCAAACAAAAUGGCGAGCUGGUAUGGUGAUUACAGAUUUUUUUUAAGAACUGCACAAUUUACAGUUUACAAGCUGAGGGUGAGAAUUGGGAAUGUGCCCAUCAGUUCCCAGAGACCAGUACAAGAAAAUCACAUGGUAAUUCUGCUUUCUGUGUGCGUUCAGCUCCUCGCUGUACCUUGCUUUUUCUCAAUGCUAUUAUCUUGUUUUGGCUCCAUGAUCGAAUUUUGUUGUUACUCUCGAAUGAUAUACCCCGAAUAAGUGCAGCGAACUUCAAACUAUAGCCUUUUGAAACAUUGGUAUGUUUCUCACGUUAGCUUACGGUUGUUUUAAACGGAUAUAGCUAAAUGAAACAGCUAUAAGUUCUUUGGAUUUUUUUCAUAGCACCAACUGAAAUGGUGAUUUUUAUUGAUAUGGAAAAUAAAAAUGAUAUAAGUUAUAUUAGUAUAUUUGAUAGCCGUCCAUACGAAAAAGUUGGUUGAUUUUAACAUAUACUGACUAUUCUAUACAUGAAACUUCUUGCACGUGAAACAACGAAAAUCCACACAUAGUAUUUUUGGAAAAUUUCAGAUCUUACGCAUUGAAGUCAAUUAAACAUUAAAAUAGAUAUAGCAGUUCCGACAGUCAACUAUUUAAACAUUAAACAAGAGUAGCACAUAAUCGACCUUUUUUUCUAUCAAAUUAUAGUCAAAUGUACAAAUAGAACUUACACCAUUUUUAUUUUUUAAAUUAAUAAAAAAAUCACCAUUUUAAAUGGCAGAAUGAAAAAAAUUCCAAAGACCUUGUAGCUGCUUCAUUUGGCUAUAAAGCCUAUAGCUAUUUCAAAUGGCGGUAAGCUGAUAUGGCAAUCCGUUUACGUCAGGUUACCGCCGCCGUUUAUGUCAGGUUACCGCCGUUUUAAACGGACGAAACAGCUAUAGUCAUAUGAAAUGGUUAUAUAGGUACAAAAUUUGUAAAUUUUUUCUCUCAUAGUGGAAGGAGGGUUAGUAGGGAUAGCCCACGCACGCUAGAGGUGCACCAAAGGCCAGGCCCAAGGCCCAUCUCAUCACACACGUGGGCCUCUCGAUCCUCUCAAAAAAAAUGUCGGCCUCUCGAUCUCUCCUCUCGUCGGUAGAGUCCACUCCAGUCUGCCUGUGCGCGCCAGAACACUUUCAGAUAAACUAAUGGCCUCCCAAAAUCUGGGAGGCAAUCGUGACGUGAACUAUUUCCAACUGCAUGGAACCUGGUCAGGUCGAUCAGGCAAUAAAGGGAUGUGUUGUUCAUGCGCCGCGCCGUCCCCUCGCCUCCGCCGCCGAAUCCGAGACUCCGAUCUCGGGUUCGACGCAGCGCACCAAAGCAACCCCGGCGACCGGCCCGAUCAACUCUCCUCUCCGCGCGUCAGGUGGUCGCCUCCCCAGAUCUCCCCGCCUCGUUCCGUUUGUCUCGCUCGUUUUGUGUUGUGCCUCGCUUCGAUCUGGUGGGUGGCGCUUUCCGCGCGGGCCUGGGCCGAUCUGCGUCGAUUCGGUGGAAAGUUUAAAGUGUUUAUGGAUUGAGAGCUAGUUUUGCCAGUAUUUCCUUUGUCGGAUGCGCGGCUUUUCAGCUCGAUAGAUGGUUUGUUAUGCAGGAUUUGAUUUUCUUUAAAAAAUAAUGUGGUUCAGGUGCCAACACGUAAACUUGUUAGUUGUGGCUUUAAAAACUCUGCAGUCUUCCGUAUGCAGCUCGUGGUAGCUUGGCUGUAGCUAUGUUUUGCCAUUGAGCGACUCGUGCUAUGCUUGUGAUAUUGGUAUCAAGCUGUUUGAAUUAGGGGAAUGCUUGAUACUUGAUGAGAUUUUAUUAUGUAGUGAUGGGCGACUUUCUGUUAAAGGGAGGAUGAAGUGGCAACAUGGAUUUGUUACAGGGUAGAGUAACAGAUAGUGUUAUGCCAUGUAUGAGAUGAGCGAGUGAUUGUUCUAAUAUUGUCUGAACUUCAAACCUUUGACUUUUGAUUUGUCAGACUAGUCUAGGCAAUUAUAUCAGUCUGCUGUUAUGUAUGCUUAGACUUAGAUUGCAAUGAAUCAGCUGUCCUAGUUUGUGAGCAGUUGAGAAUGCAUUUUGUCUCAAUUUUGGAGCUUGGAUGACUUCUCUGUUUUGAUGGUUGAUCUUUUCUAGGGUGCAACUGUUUACCUGUUGACUCUUGCAAAUUAACGGUCACUUGACUUCUAGCCUGUUCCUUGUCUCAAACUCAAAUAGUUUUCUUUGGUCCACAAACAUAUUUUUUGUGGUAGGCUCUGUGCAAGUUUGUUAGAAGCUGUGUUCACUAUGCUAUUCAUUCUUUGAUCUAGGUUGAGGAUUAAACUUUUUUGUAUUUCCUUCACAUCUGUCACAUGUACUGUACAUUUUGUGUCUUAACAUGUUGUUUUGUUUGCUACAGUCAUGGCGGAAAUGGCACCUGAGGGUUCCAAGUUCGAUGCUAAGCACUAUGAUUCUAAAAUGCAGGAGCUGCUGUAAGUAAUAUAUUGCUUUUUUUGUUGUUGUUCAACCUUACCUAUUUCCAUCAUCUGUGAGUCUGAGUUCCAAGCCUACCUCUAUUUCAUGUAAUACAGGAGCACUGGUGAGACUGAGGAAUUCUUCACCUCAAAUGAUGAGGUUUCUGAGAGCUUCAAUGACAUGGGCCUCCAAGAGAACCUUCUGAUGUGCUUUGAUCCAUCAAUUGAAUUAAAUUAACAGAGUCUUGCGCACCACAGAGACGAAUACAUUAGGAUGUACUUUAUUCCGAAAUAAUGGUGCAUAAUUAUUCAGCCAACUUAGAUCCUACAGGUACUUUCAUGAUUCUUGUUGGGGUCGAGUUAGGUGUACAUCAGUUGAGUACCACUUGCUGGACACAUUUUACGUGAAAUUUUUUUGUUAUUAUGUACAUGAAUUUUGUUAUUAUGUACCUUGCUGUGAAAAUUUUUAGUUUUACUGCAACUUUUACGUGUCCAGCAAAGUGGUCCUCAACUGAUGUACAUCUAACUCGGCGCCAUCAAGAAUCAUGAAAGUACCUGUAGGAUCUGGGUUGGCUGAAUAAUUAUGCACCAUUAUUUCGGAAUAAAGUACAUCCUAAUGUAUUCGUCUCUGUGGUGCUGUUAAUUUGAUUCGAUUGAUGGAUCCAAAGCACCGUGCUUUAUUUUUCUCCUUGCAUGAUGCUUAUUGCCUGGUGAUUCUAGGUUGAACUUGCAAAAAUGUUGUUGAAUGAGGGCCAGAUGCACCUGUUUGAGCACUGGCCAGAACUAGGUGUUGAUGAUGACAAGAAAAGAGGCUUCUUUGAUCAGGUGUGUAUUCAUAUAGAGGACAUGUAGCAGCACUGAUAUUACAUCACCACGGAGUUGUUCCAUGCUUAUUGAUCCAACAAAAAAAAGCACACUGUACCGAUAGUAUCCGGCAAGAAUUGUGAAAUGUCAUAUUACCCAUGAACUACUCUUUUUAGUAGUACAGUCAAGUACAGUGUCAUCUUCCCUUUCUGUGCAUAUAUUUGUACAUUUUAUAGCACUAUAAUCUAUGCCUUGAAGUCAUAAUCAAAAAUAUACCUUUUCCCCUAUAUUCUGAAAGUUUUGAUUAUCUUAGGUUCGUCGACUUAAUUCAAGCUAUCCUGGAGGGCUGGUAUCAUACAUCCAGAAUGCCAAAAAACUUUUGGCACAUUCAAAAGCAGGCAAAAACCCAUACGAUGGUUUUACUCCUUCUGUAAGUCGUCUUAUAUCCAUUUUGUUGAUAGAUAAACUUGGCCCUAAUAUCUUUUUCUUUUCAUGGGUUUGUUCUGGAAACACUUAAGUUGAGCAUCAUGAACUCUAAAUUGUUCAAAUUGAAUAACUUAACUCAUCACAACAUCACAAUUGUUCCCAGGGAUAAAUGUUAGUUUGAUAUAUUUUUUUACCUUUUCUUUUCUUAGUGCCGUAGUUAAUAAAUUUUGCUAUAUCAUACUUCAGGUUCCGUUAGGGGAGCUAUUGAACUUUGGCGAUGACAACUUUGUUUCAUUGGAAGCAGCUGGGGUAAAAGAAGUACGGAAUGCUGCGUUUGUUCUUGUAGCUGGAGGGCUUGGUGAAAGACUUGGCUAUAAAGGAAUUAAGGUAUGCGCUGAGCUGCUAAUAGCAAACUUAAUAUCUAAUCAUGGAAAAGGCCAACAUCUAGACUGGAUUCUUUCUCAAUGCAGUUAUGUCAUGAGGUAGCACAGUAGCUAGCACACUUUGUUUGGUACUCAAACUAUAUUUUGUAUUUUUUUCUUUAAUUUGGUUUAAAAUUUUCUCUAGCUGAUAAUAGCACAAUAGCACAUUGUCCUACAUUUUUUUUUAGAACAACAUUGGCCACAGCCCUGUUCCAUUAUUUCCAUUGAAAAACAAGAUGCAUACAGUUCAGUUUUAGCUCCUAACUUUAGACUGCAAGCACCACCUGGUGGCUUGCACAGUCUUUUACUGAAAAAUAUAAAAUCACUUUGGAAUUAAUAGUAAGAAAGCUUGAUGAACUGGUGGUAAUGUAUUUGUCAUGGUUCAAAGCUUUUAUUCUAUGAUUUUGGUCAGGUAGCACUUCCCCGGGAAACGACUACUGGAAAGUGUUUCCUUCAACAUUACAUAGAGUCUAUUCUGUCUUUACAAGAGGCCAGCUGCAAAAUGUUUGAUGGUAUGUACUCUGCACUAUAUCUGUAGUGGAUUGAUGACUUGCCAACAUUGUCUCUAUAGUGCGUAUUAUUUUUAAUAGUUCUCACGAAUUUAAUUUUGAUCUUAGCAUUAAGUGUGUCUUGUUUUCAUCGUUUAUACUUAUGCCCCUUCUGUACAAGAGAUCUGUCAAUCACUUGAAUUAGUUUGCUAGUUUCAUUACUUACACAUGAUAUAUGGUGGGCCUCAAAGAAGCUUCAGGUCUUAUUUUAUUCUUAUUGAUGCUGUUCGUUGCCAUGCAACAGGGUGUCAUACAAAGAUUCCAUUUGUUAUUAUGACUUCUGAUGAUACAAACGCGCUAACCAUCAAGCUUUUGGAGUCGAACUCCUACUUCGGAAUGGAACCAUCUCAAGUGAAAAUACUAAAGCAGGUUUUUUCGAUCUCCCUAUUCUUUUCAUGUGCUUGUUAGGAGAAAACCUCCGUUCUAUCUAUGCAAAGCACAUAUCAGUUACUUCUGGUGUUAACCGUACAUGUUCAUUUUCUUUUUCAGGAAAAAGUAGCAUGUCUAGCUGACAAUGAUGCAAGGCUUGCAUUAGACCCAAAUGAUAAGUACAAAAUUCAGGUAGAAAAUUUCCAUAUGAGGAUUAAUAACAUUGUAUUUAAAAUAUUCUAACCAUAUUAUUUCUGCAUACACUGAGUAUCUGUCCACGUUUCUAACUCUCAAUUUUGUGACCUGACAGACAAAGCCACAUGGGCACGGAGAUGUUCAUUCUCUUCUCUAUUCAAGUGGCUUGCUUGAACAAUGGUAUGCUCAUUGAUUCAAGAAUUCACCACCGGGGGCAGUUUUUUCCCUACUUGAAGAAAUUAGCAGUUAUAUAUGAUGAAAUAAUUUACUAAAAUGAUACUAUGUAUUCUUUUGAUAGGAAGAGUGAAGGGCGGAAGUGGGUUCUCUUUUUCCAGGAUACAAAUGGGUUGCUUUUCAAUGUUUGUACUCUGGCCUCCUACUGUACUAUAAUUUACUGCCAAAAGAUAGAAAAUUUUUAACAUCCUUAAAAAUGUACCAAGAGAUAUCAAAAUUGUAAACUGAAUCUGGUACCGUAGGUUCCAGUUUUUAGUACUUUGGUGCCAAAAAAUAGGCACAUCCCCAUAUGUAAAUUGUGCUACCUCUUCGUAUUUUCCAAGGACCCUUAAAACCUCUAAUAAAGAUGAAACUGCUUCCAUGAGAUAAAGGAACCUUUGGCUACAUAGAACUGACAUGUUUUUUUAAAUUUUGUAGGCAAUACCAUCAGCAUUAGGUGUCAGUGCCACUAAGGGUUACAAUGUAAAUUCUCUCGCAAUUCCUAGGAAGGCAAAAGAAGCAAUUGGAGGAAUUACCAAACUUACUCAUGUUGAUGGUAGGUUUUACUAUCAUCUACCCCAUUGAUGCGAGUUGUUUUGAAAGCAAGAAAUUUAUCAUUUGUUAUAUUUUGAACAAAAGAAUUAUGCAAUUAAUCUUUCAGUUUUUAGUAAGUUUUUACUAUGAAAAUCAAGAAAAAUAUUCUUUUAUUCGGAAAGAUUUUAAAGAGUCAUUUCUCGACUGUUCUAUACUGGCAUUUCAAUUGGCUGGUUGCAUCUAAUUGAUUUGUUUUGUUAAUUAGUCACAACUCCAUUAUUGUGCACAGGUAGAACAAUGGUCAUCAAUGUAGAGUACAAUCAGCUUGAUCCACUCCUUCGUGCAACUGGACAUCCUGAUGGAGAUGCAAAUUGUGAGACAGGCUAUUCUCCAUAUCCUGGAAAUAUAAACCAGGUAAACCAUACAUAUUCCAAAGGGACAAAUUUAACUUUCACUAGUUCAACACUUCAAAAGAUCCUUGGACUCUUGCCAAAUGCCAUGAACACGGUUCUUAGGAUGGCUUGUCUUAUUACAUUUCCCUUUUGGAUGAUGGCAAACCUGUCUAUUAAUAUAUUGUCCUUCUCUUAUGAUUUGGAGGCACAUGUAAUGCUAACACCGAUAUGAGUUAAUGUGGAUGCUGUUAUCUUAAUGUCACAGUCAUUAUGCUGUUUAUGUUCAUUUUCUUUAUUGCUUUUAGAACUGAGCAAAACUUUGUCAGCAUUAUUAAUUUUUACUAAGAAAAAA
rnacentral:lncRNA from 1 species